rnacentral:lncRNA from 1 species
UUCCUCACCCUUCAGUCUCAUGGGCACCAAAAUCUUCUCUGGAUGACAUUCGCUCCACGUAGUAAUGAUCAUCUGGAUCUCGUUGAAGUAGUCAUAAUUCUUUCGAAUGAAACGAACUUGGAACAAAUCUAUCUUAAGAGGUGGGGGAAUUUCUUGAAGAGCUUUGUACUGACGGGUCACUCUAUGUGGAUAAUAGGAAGUAGCACCGGAAAGGCCGAGCAGCGGGAUUGGUCCAUCAUGUUUGUGAGACAAACGAGCCUCCUCAAUGUAGAUCCAUUUAGUAUGCCAUAAGAAUGCCUUAGGAUCAUGAUUUUUCAAAAAAUUAAUCCAAGUAUACUGUUUAUUUGGGGAAAAACGUUCUAAGACCACAAACUUUUGUAUGGGGUGCCUAAAAUCAUCAAUCUUAAAUUGCUUCAUAAGGUGCCCAAAUCCUCUUAUGUGGGAGAAAAACCAUAUUUGCAAAAGUUCGGGGAGGGCACGAAUAGUCUUUUCCUCAUUUUGUUUGAAACCGGUUAAUGACAAAAAUGUCUUGGCUAAAACCAUAUUGACAUAAUUCAACCCGACGUAAACACGAUUAACCACCCAUGAAAUUGAAGGAUUAAUGGCAUUUUUUUGAUAAGGAAAAACGAUUAGUCCAAAAAAUGCUAAGAUGAAAAUCCUAGCUUUUGAAGUCAUUGAUCUGUUUGAAAAACAACCUUCCAAAAAUGAAAAUGGGCAUGCAUAGCAAUUGGCUUUAACAACCUUCCUCACUUCUUCGGUUUCGAUGAUAAUUCAGAAAUAGAAUCUAUACCGAUAGGCGGUCUAAUAAGUUCCUUUUCCAGGGGCAUUCCAAUGGCGACACUAUAUUCUUCAAGUGUUGGAGUCAAUUCAAACUUACCAAAUAUGAAGGUGGAAGUUUGUGGACACCAGAAGUGAGGGAGUGCUUGAAUCACACCCGAGUGGACGUUGAUCUCUAACAGUGGAAGAAGUCGGGCGAUCCUGGCUUUCACAUAUCUCUGACCAUCUUGAUCCAACUGAUCCAACCACCUCUUGAGCUCUUUUUUUGGAGUGGAAAUGAAUUGUGCAUCGGUUUUCCCCAUUGCAUAUAAAACAAGACCGACGACGAAACCUAAUUGUCAUGGACCGACAAAAUUACAAUAAAGUAAAUAAAUUGCAAAAAAUUUAAACAACUUACUUUCACUGGAAAUGGAUGACAAUCACAUAGACAUGCGUAUGAAAUGUGAGGCUCGAUUUCUACCUAGACGGCUUAACAAGGUGGAGCUAAGAGGAUGGUCUGACCGUUGCAGUCUCGCAUUAACGUGUCAGGUCCUCCUAACCCCAGCUCAGUCGAAUGGAAUACCCAAUAAUCACACAGUCUCGCGGAUAUGGACAAACACAUUCGACACCAUGAAAGAAAUUUCGGGGAAGAGAAUGUCAACCUCUACAUAGCAAUCUCGCUUUAGUGGAAGUAUCCUUCUCAACAUCGCAGCCCAGGUUCGACCACAGGUUGUGUGUGCAAAUAGUGUGGUGCUAAAGUAAUAAAGCAUGCAUAACAGUUUAAAUGCAAACAACACUUCUAAUCAAGAAAAAUAAAUCAGUAAUCUCAACACCUCCCUGCAAGACAAUGGUUAGCAAAGACUACUCCCAUUAUACCUCCCAUCUACAAGAAUAUUUAACACCUUAGAAAUGCUAGGGACAUACCUGAGAUCCUCGCUGCCAAACAAAAAUAUUUUUAAAAAGAAAAAUUGGCCUAAGUCCACUAAGUGUUUUAACACAAGUCCCCAGCGGAGUCGCCAAGCUGUCGCGAUCCAAUUUUUUCGGGUUCACUACCUAAAACUAGAUUAAUGGAUUACUAAGUCUUUAAGCUUAACUCGGGCUCUCCCAAGCCCAUAUCAAUUCACGACUUAGGUUUGAAUUCUUAACAUGCAAAUGAUUUUCAAUCAGGAGUCGCCACUAAUCUAUUUUUGGUGGGUCGAUUAGAAACCCAAGUAAAGUAACAGGAGAUUUACUUUACUCCUACGAACCAGAGAUUCAUUAGUUCGGGGACUUGGUUACACCAGACUAUCCUAAUGCCCUUUCGGUACCUUUUUAUUUCAUUUUUCAAAAAAUGUUUGACAAUUGAAUUGAUUUUAAUUUAACUUCCUAACAUGUGAGGUAAUCAUACGUGUGCGCAUACUACCAAUUUAACACUCAAGAAAGCACUUAAAUAAUGCAGGACUUACCUCAAAGCAACGAAAGCAAGCAUCUACAGUGUUAAAUUAAAAUCCAUAUCAACAACCCUAGAUAUGAUUUAUAAUUAAUACGCAAUUACCCAAUUUUUGUUUUCGCUUUUCUCAAUGAAAAUCAUGCGAUGCAUACUAAUAAUCUAAUAUGACAUGGCAUCAUGACCUAAACUAUAUGACAUGAAUAAAUGCAAUAAUUAAAUGCAAUCUAAAUGACCUAAUUCUAAUGACAUGCAAUGCGAUGCAAUGACAUACAAAAUUAUUUAAACUAAGAUGACAUGUAGCAUACAAUUUAGUACGCGAGUUAUAUGUCAUGCGACAUUUAUUAAAUGACUUAGUCUAAUGACGAGGAAGUUCUAAUUAAAUGAACCUAAUAAAAACUAAAUGACGUGCAUUUGAUAUUUCUAUUUAAAAAUGCAAAAAUGAUCUAGCUAGAUUAAAAUUCUAUCUAAUUUAAACUAAGGAUUAAGUCACAUUAAAUGAAUGCAUUUUUUUUGUUUAAUUUUAUAUUUUUCGAACUGAAAUCCCUAUCCUAGAUAUGCAAGAUAACAAUAAAUAUUCCAAAACAAACUAAAUCCUAAUUCAAAUAUUUUUUAGAUUUUUUAGUGAUUCUCCAAAACAAGCAAUUAUCAACUAAACAUUAAAUCUAAACAAUCAAGAUAUUCAAUCAAAUAAAGGAUUAAAAUAAUCUAAAAAAUAACAUGUUGUCUCACAGGUCAAAAUAACGAUUAUCAUAACCCUAAUUAUCACGACAAAAAGUUCAAAAUAAUUAAAAAUCUGAUCCGAAUUCUUACGGAUCAAAUUAAUAAUUAUAUUGAUUCAACACAUAAAAUAUUAUCGACAAACCCCAAAAAUUAAUAUAAUUAAAAAAAAUGAUCCGAUAUCUUACGGAUCAAAUUAGUAAUUACAAUAAUUAUGGGGAAGACCCUGCGGAUAAUGCCUACAAAAUUCAUGAAAUGAAGAUCACUUCAAAUAUACACAAUAACAACUAAACUUAAAAGAAAUAAAUAAAAUAAAGUAAAUAUAAAAAGAAAAUAAAACUACCUAAUUUCUUUUUCUUUUUCUUUUGUUUUUCUUUUCCUGCUUUCUUCACCCACGGCUGAGCGGCUGAAGUGGAUCACCGGGGCUUGGGUCGUUGGCGUUCAGAGCUCCGGCAAAGACUAGCAACGGGCUGAUCGGAGGCGAGCGGUGGCGUCGCGAGGAGCAGCAGCAAGCAGCCUCGCUAGGGCUCGGGCUUGGGCAGAGAGCGGAGCAACUCGACUCGGGCUCGGGCAGAGGAUCGGGUUCGGGCUAUGGUUGCAGCAGGUGCCGGUUCUGGGCUUUUGCUGUUGGCGUCGGGUCGGAUACGGCAGAGUAGCACGGCGGAGGCGUCGGGUCGCUGGUCGAAGGCUCUGUAGGCGUCAAGUCUUGCUGUUGGGGCGGCAUAUCCGGUAGAAGCAGCAGCGUCGCAGGGUGGCGUCGCGGUGCCGGCAACGGGAGGUGCAGGUGGAGGAAGACACACGGUCGUCGGCGCUCGGAGUUGCAAUAGUGAUUGGUAUUGCAGUGGCGUCGGGAUGAGCUCGCGGGUGCAAAGGGAUUCUGGCGGCGUGGUGGGCGGAUCGCGGACAGGGCAAGGGAAGCAGCGUCGUCGUGGAUCAACUCGGCGGUGGCUUUGUCGGGUUAGUGGAGAGGUUCGGCAGCAGCGUCGGAAUCAUGGGUCGGCGUGGCACGGGGAGGAAAGCGGUAGCUUCACCAGACUCCGGGCUGGGCAGAUUCGCGGUCGGAUUAGGAGCAGAGGAGAUGCGUGCGGCAGUAGCUCAGAUCACCGGCGAAGGGCGUCGCGGGCCGAGAAACUUCAGGUGCAGGCGUAGAUCGGAAGCGAGGCCAUCUGGUGUGGUGGCGCGGUGAGGUGGCGCCGGUCGUCGCAAGGAGGGCAGAUCAAAAUCGAAUCCAGCAGGAGGGAGGCAAAAGCGGAAGCAGUAGAAGGAAGGUGGUGAUGAACAGUAAAUAUCCAAUCACCUUUACCCCCUUUUACUUUUUCUUCGCUUUUUCCCUUUCUUCCCUUUUUGUGCUUCUCUCCUUCUCUCGAGGACUCCACGGACGGCUCCCUAAAGCACCAAAACUCUUUUCCAUUUCAGUGGAUUUUUUUACUUCAAAAACCAAGAAAAGCCUCUCUUUUCGAUUGAUCCGUACGUAUCCUUUUAUAGGCGAAACAAAACAUGAUCUUUUUUGUUAAUAUUUUCAUCUCACGAAUAUUGCUUAUAACCUCUUGAUCAAAAAAUCCUUAUCUCAAAAAUAUUCUCCCCGAUUUCAUCAUCUAUUGAUAAAGAUAAGAUUACAAUGCGAUUUUUUUUUUUUAAUUUUCAAAAAUCAUCAUAAUAUCGCAUCAAAUUUUAAUUUUUCACAAGAUAAUUAAUUAAACAACGACGGGCUUGGGUUAAUUUUCUCCUUUCGUGGGCCUAGCCCAGCCUGCUAAUUUAAAACCCAAAACCACUAAUUCGACCCAUCCGCCAUUGGUCCAGUAAAUAAAUGUAAACAAAAAUGCAAAUUAAAAAAAAAUGCACCUAAAUCUAUAUGCUAUGCAAUUAAUAUAUUUUUAGGGGUUAAAAUUAAUCCCUAAUUUCUUAAUGCGACAAAUGACUAAAUGGGUAGCCAAAAUUUAGGUGUCAACACUUGGAAAGAGUUGAUCUUUGUUGACCUUAGCGACAACUUAUUCGAGGGCCCACUUCCAAUACCAACAAUCCCUACAGUCUUGUUUUGGGCCACCGACAAUCGCUUUAGUGGAGAGAUUCCCUCUUCCAUUUGCAAAUUAAGCUCCCUUAAAUCUCUAUGGUUGGCUAGUAACAAUCUCUCUGGCUCUAUUCCACAAUGUUUGGGAAAUUUAGCCAACCUCUCGGUACUAGACUUGAGUGCUAACAAGUUUGAAGGGACAAUUCCGCGGGCUAUAGACAAUCGUGCAUCAUUGAUCUUGCUAAAUGUUAGUCACAACAGAAUCAACGNNNNNNNNNNNNNNNNNNNNNNNNNNNNNNNNNNNNNNNNNNNNNNNNNNNNNNNNNNNNNNNNNNNNNNNNNNNNNNNNNNNNNNNNNNNNNNNNNNNNCAAUGGCCCGAAGAAUAUUUUAUUAGUCGGUUGAAUCUAGUGACUAUUAGAUCUAUCCAACAAUAGAUUUGAAGGUCCUCUUCCGAUUCCACCACCCACCACUCAAAUCUAUUCCAUUGCAAACAAUAAGAUUGGUGGAAAGGUUUUCUCUUUGAUAUGCAAUGCCACUGAGCUCAUAGUCCUUGACUUGUCCAAUAAUAGUUUGAUGGGCACCUUGCCAUCGUGCUUGAUGAGCUUUAGCAAAGAUCUCUCAGUGCUUAACGUCCGAAUCAACAUGAUUCAAGGUGUGAUCCCUGGAAAAUUUGAUGAGGAUAGCAAACUAAGGACUAUUGACUUUAGUCGAAAUCAAUUUGAAGGGACAUUGCCACCAUCCUUACUACGUUGUGAAAAUUUGGAGGUUUUUGAAACUCGGCAACAAUAGAAUCGAGGAUAUGUUCCCCGAUUGGUUGGGAACCCUUCCCAAGCUACAGGUUCUUGUUUUGAGGUCCAACAUAUUCCAUGGCUUUGUGAGUAAUCCUAAAGAAGCUCGCUCAUUUUCCGAAUUGCGCAUUUUCGACCUAUCCAACAACAAUUUGAGUGGUCCCUUACCCGUUAGAUAUAUUAUGAAGCUUACUGCCAUGAUGAAUCAGGAUAAAAGACGGGGCAAGCUAAAGUAUAUGGGAGAUGCUAAUUAUCAAGAUUCAGUCAUGGUGACCAUGAAAGGACUGGAGAUACGGUUGGAAAAAAUUCUAACUGUUUUCACAAGCAUCGACUUAUCAAGCAACCAUUUUGGUGGGGAGCUUCCCUUGGAUAUUGGAAACCUAAAAUCGCUCAAAGGGCUAAACUUUUCCCACAACAAUCUCACCGGCUAUAUCCCUCCGUCUACUGGCAAUUUGAUUGAACUCGAAUGGCUAGACCUCUCUUCAAACAAGUUUACCGGAAGGAUUCAUCCUUCAAGCAAACAAUAUGGAGCACGGAGGCUGGUUUGAGUGAAAAGCUAUAUUGAUGGGUUAUGGGUGUGGAAACGUAGGUGGAGUCUCUCUAGGAUACAUUGUUCUCGGAUCUAUAAAAUUUGAAUAGCUCACGGGGUUGCUUGAAAGGAAAGGAGCUAAUAUGAGAAAGAAUGGAGGAGGAAUGCUCGUAGAUCUUAUCAAAGAUGAAAAUCUCGACUGUUCAUUCUUUGUAUUGUAAUAUGAUGAGUAAACCUGUUGAGGUGCCUUGAGACCGAUUACAUGCUUAUUAUUUUGGCCUUUUUUUUUUAUCAUUUAAGUGUAGUCUCAUCCAAGUAAACAAAAUAAGAUCUAAUUUAUGCCUGCUUCUUGUGGGAACUUAUUUCUUUCCUUUUCUCAAGGGAUAAUAUCGAAACCAUAAGAAAAGCGAGACAUGAUUCGCUUUUGGUUUAAUAUAUAGGCCAGUGUUGAGGUACACACGACUAGUGUGCAUGAUCUCCGGUGUCUUCAGGAAUUGCGUAAUUAUUUAAUAUAGGCUAUUGCUUUUUACUUUUGUAGAGAAAAGAAUAGAUUUUUCAGGAAUUGAGUGAUUACUUAAUUAAGUUGAUAUGUGAUGAAUAGUUAUUAUAGAUGUGUGAAUUGAGUGGUCACUUGAUGAAAAGAAAGUAGUAGGUAGUAGUUGAAACCUAAUUUUGCCGGUUUGGCGAACCAUCUGUACUUGAAAAAAGAAAAGAAAAGAAAAGAAUAAUUGAAUCAGGCCGGUUUGACCUGGCCCUCUUGGGCCCAGCCUGCGACCCUGCACCUGCUCGGCCUGUCUCUUCUAUAGUGCGCGUCCGACCGGGCCUCUCCUCCCUUUCUUCUCUCUUUUUUGCCCUGCUCCGUCGGUCUUCCACCUCACGACACACAGCCAUCGCCACUCUUCGCUGCUUGUCAUCCCACUUCUCCCGCAAUCGCACCAAGGCUUUUAUUCGCCCCUGUUUGCUUGACCAGAGUACUCUGAAGAGCUCGUCUCCUAUCCAUCCACCUUCACCGGUUCCGACCUUCGACAUAACAUAGAUAAAAGCACCCCAAGUGACCUAUUUAUAAGGAUCUUGUUUCUCCAAUGGUUCUAUUUGUAAGGACCCAUCUACAGUCUCCUGCACCGCAAGCUUAACUUAAAGAGGGAAUGGAAAAGAUGAACACUCUAUUUUUCGGAUUAUGUUCCCUUUUAUCUGAUGUUGGUGCUUUGGUUCUAGUAAUUCGAAGUUCGUUAUAUUGAUUACACAACUCAGAGAUGGUUAUCCCACCGCCAGCUAAGUCACCGAGAAUAAUAAACUUUCUCAAACCGAGACGUGGCUGCAGCUGCGAAGAUAGGAAAGAUACCGAGAGAGAGGCUGCUUCUCAAGGGCAUUGCUGCUGUUGAAGUCCACUUGAAAAGAGAACAAAAGUAUCAAGGCAAAGUUAAGGCAGUCAUUGAUUCUGUGAGAGAAGCAAGUGUGAAGUUGCUUUGAGGACUCCUGAACUUAUUGGCUGUAUUUGUUUUAAGACUUGUGAUCUUUGUUCGAAGUAAUUUCACUUGAGAAAGAUUGAAAGAGAGUGAAUGAACUUUUUAUGUUGGAGGCUGCUUAUAUUGAUUUCUUCUUUGUAAGAAUAUAAGCAUAUUGAAUGUUUGGGCAUGUAUGCAUCUGAGCAUGUGCUUUGGCGUGUUUCGAUAGAUUAUCAGGGUGAGAAUGAUUGAAAAUGAUGAGCCUGCCGCUCAACUCUUAGAUACUGAAGUCGUUGCAUCCAUACAAGUUGGUUCAGAGUCCAAUAUAGAUCAUUGAUUGCUCACAUUCGGCGCUUUCGUUUUCUAUCGGAGCCUUAUUGAUGUUGAAAGAAAAUAACUGCUUGAGGCGCUCGGCUUCCAAUGAUCUUGCACUGUUUGUAGCCUUACCGAUAUUGAAGGAAAACAACUGCUUGAGGUCCUCGGUUCUGCCCUUGGUCGGUCCGGUCCUUGGUUCCGAAAAUGAGGAACCGGGCCGUUGGGCCGGUUCCCGAUUUUGAGGUGGGAACCGAUCACUAUUAAUGCCCGUGGCUGAUAAUCAGCUUACGCUAAGGAAGGAGAAGAAAAAAAAAUUAUUUAAAAAUCAUUUUUAUCACUUUUAUGAUAAAAUCUAAUAUUAAAAAAGAAUUGGUCAUGUACCGGUAAAUAAAAAUAAAAUUAUCCACUUUUCCAAAAUAUGAUUUUUGAAAAAGUAAAUUUUUUUAUGAAAUUUUUCUCGAAAUAAAUGUACCUAACAUUACAUUGAUUAAUUGAGUAGUGUCGAGGAAAAGCCAUUAGGGGUGAGCAUGGUCCGGGUUGGUCCGGGCCACCCCCUAACCCUAGGACCAACCCGUACAGUGUCGGUCCUCAAUUUUUAGGACCGAGGACCGACCCUACUAAGCCUGGGACCAAGGACCGGACCGACCCAAUGGGUUCGGUCCGGUUCCAGGGUCAACCCGGGACUGAUCGAUAAUUUAUUUCGUCUUGUUUUUUUAUACUCCCUAAAAAAGUAAACCUACAAAUUCAAAUUACACAUCCAUCGAUAAUGUGGCAUUGUGCAACUAAACUAUAAAUACCAAUACAAGAUCUCAAAUGAAGCACAAAGUAGAUAUCACUAGUCAGGUUGUGUUUGGAAAGCAAGGGCAAGCUAAGCAUUCUAAUUAGGGCUUCUUCUUUUUUCCUUUUGAUUUACUCGGUGAUAAGUGAGGCAAUCGGCGCGAGUGGCGAGCGCAAGUGUCAAGUGUUGAGUGGGGUGAGCGUCAACUGGCAAGCGGCAAGUGUUUAGUGAGGCCAGCGGCAAGCGUUUAGUGAUGCCAGCGGCAAGCGACGAGCAUUGAGCGAGACUAGCAGCGAGUGGUGAGUGGCGAGUGUUUAGCAAGGCUAGCGACGACAACAAAGGGCGAGUGGUGAGUGGCAAGCGGCACAAGCAGCGCGCACGGUCAAAGGUGAGCGGCGCGGGCAACCGGAGGCGAGUGGGAUGUUGCUACUUUUGAUUUUGGUCAAUUGAAGAACAAAGAAGACAAAAUGGAAGAGAACGUACUUUAGGGAAGAAAGCCGUGAGGAGAUUUACGGCAUAAACUUCGCGUCAUUUUGGACGUCGCGAGUCCAUGACUAUGAGGAGUCCUUGGUCCUCACGGUGAAGAAUGUACUCUGGAGUCUAGACUGUGAAGGAGGAGGCCGUGAAGACCUUUACAGCGUAAACUUCACGCCUUUUGGAAUUGGAUGCCGUCUGUCCAUGACUAUGAGCAUGAGGAAUCAACAACUUUAACAUCAUUUUACUUAGGUUUGAAUAUAUAAAAGAAUUAUAUAUAAUAUAAUAUAAUAUAACAUAAAUUUUACUUAGGUUUGAAUAUAUAAAAAAAAUUAUAUAUAAUAUAAUAUAAUAUAAUAUAAUAUACAGGGUUGGUUCAGGGUUGGACCGACCCAAAACUCUCAGGACCGAGGAUCAACCCGCACAGUGUUGGUCCUGGAAUUUCAGGACCAAGGACCGACCCAGUCCCCUUGGGAACCGGACCAGGACCGGCAGGGUUGGGCCGGUCCAGGGUCAGUCUAGGGUCGACCCUAAACCGCUGCUCACCCCUAAAAGCCAUUACCGUGUAUAGCAAGGCAAUCAGCGGAAUUUUCGGGGCUUUUGGUCAACCAACUUUACUUUGUUUUGUCGGUCAUAUAGCAAUUAGCUCGUUCUCAUCGACUACCAAUGCUUUGCUUUUCGGUCUUCCAAGGCGUAAUAUAAAUAAUUUCAACUUUUAGAAAAGAAAGAGAGCCAUUCUUCUUUCCACACAUGGUGUUGGGAGAUAGAGAGAGAGCUAUCGAUCGGCCAAGCAAAUCAACCAUGUCUAGCUCAGCCGCAGGAAGUUACCAGGAAGAUAGCGUGGUAGGUGUUCGUAAGCUUUAGAAGACUCGGUUCUCACCACCAAUAGCAUUUGACUUUAUGGUCUUUUUUUUGGUAAAGUCAUUUGACUUUAUGGUCUUCGUCGUGAUAUAUUACCACUUUCUACUUUAACUAUUUUCUCGUGCAUUUGGUCGGUUUCUUAUUGCUACUCCUUUAAUGAAUGACAGAAAAGAGAGAGGCCCAAGCACAGCGUUCGAGACAAAGCUAUGACCCAGCAGCGACGAAGCAGAGUUUUAGAGUCGCUUAUCCCUCAUUCGAGUUUUAUCGGUAUUCGUGAGUAAGCGACAUCAAAUGGCAACAUGCACAUUUGCGAUUUGUAACCGGAUGUUCAUGAGUCGACGAGCAAAGAAAAAUGUUAGCUCAAAUUGUCUCAACAUAAAUAGUUUUUUUAAUUUUGAAUUUUUUCUUCUAAAAAAUCAGAGGAAAAAGUAGAUGCCAUGAUUCAAACACACGGAAAAUCAAACUGGACCAAAAUAUAAAAUUUUCCUUAAGAAAGCAAAAAUAAAACUACAGAGAUUAGUUAAAUGAGUAGUGUUGAGGAAAAGCCAUUGCCGUGCAGGGCAAGGCAAUCAGCGUAAUUUUGGGGCUUUUUGUCAACCGACUCUACGUUUUUUAUCGUCGGCCAUAUAGCAAUUUUCUCGUUCUCAUCGGCUACCAGCGCUUUGCUUUUCGGUCUUCCAAGGCGUAAUAUAAAUAAUUUAAACUUUUAGAAAAGCAAGAGUGCCAUUCUUCUUCUUUUCACACAUGGUGUUGGGAGAGAGAGAGAGAGCUAUCGAUUUACCAAGCGAAUACCAUGGCUAGCUCAGCCGCAGGAAGUUACCAGGAAGAUACGGUGGCAGGUGUUUGUGAGCUUCAGAAGAUCCCAUUCUCACCACCGAUAGCAUUUGACUUUAUAGUCUUCGUCGUGAUAUAUUACGACCUUCUGCUUUAACUAUUUUAUCAUAGACCCAUGAUGGCAUUUGGGCGAUUUCCUAAUUGCUACUCCGUUGAUGAAUGACAGAGAAGAGAUAGGUCCAAGCACAACGUUACUGGUAGGAUCUACAGUUGUUGCAUCAUCAGCUUCACCGAGUUCUUAUCGUCAUCUCAGCAUCAGGAGCUAAAUUCAUACAAUUCUUUUGAACAAACGCAAGACAAUCCAAUUUUCGCUUGGAAUAAUUAAUCCAACGGAUGAGUGUAAAAGCGUCGUUCACAUGUCUCAAGGUGGUCUCCAUUGCACGAUGAAGAACGUGGCCUUACAAAUUGGUCUUGGCAUGAGAACACUGUAAUUUUAACACAUAUUUUAUCAUAUCCUAACGAAAACAAAAACCAAAUAUUAUCAGGGUUAGAAUGAUUGAAAAUGAUGAGCCUGCCGCUCAACUCUUAAAUACUGAAGUCAUUGCAUCCAUACAAGUUGGUUCAGAGUCUAAUAUAGACCAUUGAUUGCUCACGUUCGGCGCUUUCGGUUUCUACCGGAGCCCUACUGAUAUUGAAGGAAAACAGCUGCUUGAGACGCUCGACUUCCAAAGAUCUUGCACUCUUUGUAGCUCCAAAAGAUGUUCAAUUUAUACUAUUUACCAUAUAAACAUUGUAAGGCUAUGGGAGAGAAGGCACAGGAAGCUAUAUGCAUUAGUUAACGGAUGAUCAGGUUGAUGAACUGGGACUUAAUCAUGAAGUAGCUCUAUCCGUCCGUCACAUAGAGAUGGUGACUUGACACUUGGCUAUGAAGCCGGAAGGACUUGGAAUUGAAGCCUUGUUGCUCAAGCAUAUAUGAAAAUCCUAUGCUAGCCUUAAUUUCAGCCAAAGAGACAAAGUUUAAGACAAAUUGAGUUUACUUUAUUAACCGGAAAAAGUUGUUAUAGCAAUAUAGCAAUCAUAAUCACGCUCAGGAAACUGCAGUGCAUUGGACGUCCCUGAACUUACGUGCUUCCCAAGAGAUUCACCGACGAAUGUGGUGGUGCAUGGUAUAAUUCCAAAGGAAGAGGCAAUAAAACCGAACUCCUUUGUAAAUACCUGAAAAGCUCCAGAGGAGCUAGCUAUUCAUCCUGGAAGAAUUGCCCAGACAAUUGCUUCAAUCCAUUUUAUUUCGCUACUAGAAUACAGGUUCCGUCUCAAAAUCUGCAGUGAAAGACAUGCGGUUUGUGUCUUUCUCAAGCAGCACGAUGUGGGGUUCCACGUGGAAGGCGUUGAAAAAAUGGAGCCACGAAGAUGCAAAUGUGUAUGUUUUCGCCAAAAAGUUUUCGGGAAUUGGAAUUUGGAAUAACAUCGACCCCCUGAUAAGCAAAGCGCCUAGAUUUGUGCAACUUCAUUCCAAUGGACCGAACCUUACGAGCAACUUCAUCCUUGGAUGGGUCCUGAAACCGAUAGAGAUUUUUCAAUCUCUUUCAACCUCUACAACACUCAAGUCCGUCAUCCUUCGCCAUACUCCGAAUGAAGUUUACAAGGAAUUUUUCUUUUACAGCAUUUGACGUGCGAACAAAGAUGCAGAAUUGGGAGUACUCGAGGACGCCCUUGCAUGGAACCUCAAUAUCAUCACUUGUGUUGUUAGUUAUUGUAACCGUAACAUAUUUGAGAAGCAUUUUAUCAAACUUAAAAGAUAUUUCGUUAGUUUAUCUUAAUUGAAUUGUAAUUGGAAUCUCCAUAGCAUCCAUUUCAUGUGAAAUUGGAAGAUUUGAAUGGCUUGCAAGAACUGCAACAAGGAUGGAGAAAAGGGAAGCCAAAUGGAUGAAGAAGCCAAAGCGGAAGGCAUUAGAUUUCGUGGACUGUGAAAUUGCUGAGAAGAUGUCCAAUUAAACCAUGGGCCAUGUAGAUCAAGGAAUGGAAAAGUGACAAACUUGAAAUGCCAUUCACAGAUUGCAUCUUUUACUUGCAAGUGAACAGUAGAUUUUGGACUUGUACCUAUCAUCUCAUGUCUCUGCAAUAGUAAACCGGGGUAUCAGAGAUUCAAUGUUAUUUUACUGGAAAAUGUUCAUAAAUGGUCGCUUUCUUCAUUGUGGAUUAUUCAAAUUCGUAUACUAGACGGUAAUGAUCGGAGCCACUUUUUUCUAUGAAAUGAUAGUUGCCACCAUAGACUUGACUGAUAUGUCUUUCAAGAAAAGUGAAGAAGGCUUCCACAUCAUUUACAUGUAGAAAAAUCCUACUCCAUGCUAGACAUGAUGUUGCAAGUAAAAACAAUUAAUAAAGUUCAACUUUCUAACACUAAUUUGUCAUUGCCCAUCUAGAAUGGAUGCCCUGAAAACUCCUCCACUGUACGUUAUGCGUUCAGCCAAGGGAGAAAUCCUAUGGCACUGAGAAUUUUGCACACCCAAGCAAACCACACCAAAGACUUUGACCCCAGUAACCACAUUCCAACAAGACUUUGACUUCUUAACGAUUAUAUUUAAGUGCACCGCUAUCUUAGAGGCAUUGUGCUCGACCAAAAAAAUGGAAUUUUACCAGUUCCUCUGUGUUCUCUUUUGUCUUUCUGGGCAAUUGUUAUUAAACCUUCCUUUUUCCACAGCACAAUUAUGUCGUCCGGUCCAAAGUGAUGCCUUACUUCAAUUCAAUGAUUCCCUCACAGCUGAAACUGAUACAGACUCAAAUUGUGAUCCGAAGAUGAUUACAUGGAAGAACGGCUUGGAUUGCUGCUCGUGGGACGGUGUCACCUGUGACAAUGUAAUGGGUAACAUUAUCAAUCUCGAUCUUUCGUAUAGCUGUCUGCAGGGGACCCUCCGUUCUAAUAGUUCACUCUUUGCACUUCGCCAUCUUCAGAGCCUCAACCUUGCUUUUAACAAUUUCAGUUCCUCACCCAUUUUGCCUGAACUAAGUGUGUUUGCUGAACUGAGGCACCUCAAUCUCUCUCAUUCCAGUUUUUUAGGUUUAGUUCCUAUUGAAAUUUCUUUCCUUUCUAAACUUGUUUUACUUGAUCUCUCUUAUAACUAUAAGACCUAUGGUAAUUUUGAGGUACUUAAGAUUGAAAAUACUGCUUUCAAAAUCCUUACUCAGAAUUUGACAGAGUUGAUGGAACUCAACCUCGAUUUCAUAGACAUGUCUGCUGUUUCGCUCAGUUCUUUCGUGAAUUUAUCAUCCUCCUUGACGUUUUUCAGCGCGUGUAGCUGCAUAUUACAAGGGAAACUUCCGCCCAACAUUUUUAGCUUGCCUAACCUCCUUGAUCUCAAUUUGGAAUACAAUGAUUUAACAGUUUCUUUUUCCGAAGUCUAAUUGGAGCAAGUCUCUUGAAUCCUUAACCCUCUCGUAUACAAGCAUUUCGAGCAAAAUACCCGAUUCAAUCGGUGAAUUCAAGAAUUUAAAAACUCUGGAUCUUAGCAACUGCACAUUGACAGGAUCGAUUCCCUCAUGGCUUUUGAACUUAACAAAAUUAACCACUUUGGACCUUUCAUGCAAUGAAUUAACUGGUCAUAUCCCGUCAUUUGUUGUAAAGCUUGAACAACUCAUGGAUGUAGACCUUUCUUUCAACAACUUCACUGGUGUUUUAGACUUGGGAGGCUUUUCGACACUGAAAAAUCUGCUAGCCCUUCGUCUUACAGUUGAGCUAAAUUUAAUGUACAACAGUAUGAAUCACACAUUUCCGAAGCUUAAGACUUUGGGCUUGCCUUCCUGCAACUUGACCGAGUUUCCUCCUUUUUUGAACUCUUUAAAAAUGCUAAGAGAAUUAGAUCUCUCCAAAAACAAGAUUGGCGGUCAGAUACCGAGAUGGUUUUGGGAUGUAGGGAAAGGUACCCUACAAUAUCUUGAUAUUUCUAGUAACCUUAUUGAGGGAGGCAUACAACAAUUUCCUUGGAAAGAGUUGAUCCAUGUUGACCUUAGCCAUAACUUAUUCCAGGGCCCGCUUCCAAUUCUACCACUCCAUAUAGUUUACUUUCGGGCCACUGACAACGGCUUCAAUGGAGAGAUUCCAUCUUCCGUUUGCAAAUUAAGCUCCCUUGAAUAUCUAAAGUUCGCUCGUAACAAUCUCUCGGGCUCUAUUCCACAAGGUUUGGGAAAUUUAACCAACCUCUGGUAUCUAGACUUGAGUGCCAAUAAGUUUGAAGGGACAUUACCAAGGUCUUUAGACAAUUGUGCAUCAUUGGCCUUGCUAAACGUCAGUCACAACAGAAUCAAUGAUACUUUUCCGAAGUGGUUGCUAGAAUCCCCCUCAUUACAAAUCAUUGCUCUUCAGUUCAAUGAAUUCCAUGGCCAAAAUCGAUCCUCCAACUAUUCCAUUUCAUCCCUCCAUUCUUUAUACAUUUUCCAUAUCAAACAAUAAUUUAGGGGGUCAAUGGCCCGAAGAAUAUUUUCUCCAUAGGUUGAAUAGGUGGAUGAUUGAUCUGUCCAACAACAGAUUCGAAGGUCCUCUUCCAAUUCCACCACCCACCGCUCUCUUCUAUUUCAUUGCAAACAACAAGAUUGGUGGAAAUGUUUCUCCUUUGAUAUGCAAUGCCACUGAGCUCAGAGUCCUCGACUUGUCCAAUAAUAGUUUGAUGGGCACCUUGCCAGAAUGCUUGAUGAGCUUUAGCAAAAAUCUCUCAGUCCUCAACCUCCGCAUGAACAUGAUUCACGGUGUGAUCCCUAGAAAAUUUGCUAAAAAUAACAAACUAAGGACCAUCGACCUUAGUUGGAAUCAAUUUGAAGGGACAUUGCCACGGUCCUUAUUACAUUGUGAAAAUUUGGAAGUUUUGGAUGUUGGCAACAAUAGAAUGAAGGAUACAUUCCCCGAUUGGUUGGGAACCCUUCCCAAGCUACAGGUUCUUGUUUUGAGGUUCAACAUGUUCCAUGGCUUCGUGAGUAGUCCUAGAGAAGCUCGCUCAGUUUCUAAAUUGCGCAUCUUUGACCUGUCCAACAACAAUCUGAGUGGUCCUUUACCCGUUAGUUAUAUUAUGAAGCUUACUACCAUGAUGUAUCAGGAUAAAAGACAGGGCAAGCCGCAGUAUAUGGGAGAUGCUAAUUAUCAAGAUUCAGUCAUGGUGAGCAUGAAAGGACUGGAGAUACGGUUGGUGAAAAUUCUAACUGUUUUCACGAGUAUCGAUUUAUCGAGCAACCAUUUUGGUGGGGAGCUUCCAGUGUAUAUUGGAAACCUAAAGUCGCUCAAAGGGCUAAACUUUUCCCACAACAAUCUCACGGGCUAUAUCCCUCUAUCUAUUGGCAAUUUGACUGAACUCGAAUGGCUAGACCUCUCUUCAAACAAGUUCAUUGGAAGCAUUCCUCAAGAACUAGCAGAUUUGACGUCUCUUGCAUUCUUGAACCUCUCAGAGAAUCAGCUCAUCGAACCUAUUCCUCAAGGAAGGCAAUUCAACACAUUCAAGAGCGACUCAUUUGCCAUGAAUCCUAGACUAUGCGGAUUUCCAUUGCCAGAGACAUGCACAAACAAUCCACAAGAAAUUCCACUUGUAACCAUUCUUCAAGAAAAUGAUAUAGGGCACGGAAGCUGGUUUGAGUGGAGAGCCAUAUUGAUGGGUUAUGGGUGUGGAACCGUAGGUGGAGUCUCUCUAGGAUACAUUGUUCUUGGAUCCAAAAAAUUUGAAUGGCUCGCGGGGUUGCUUGAAAAGAAAGGAGCUAAUGUGAGAAAGAAGUGGAGGAGGAAUGCUCGUAGGUCUUAUCAAAUAUGAGAAUCUCGACUGUCCAUUCUUUGCAUUGUAAUAUGAUGAGUAAAUCUGUUGAGGUGCCUUGAGACUGAUUACGUGCUUAUUAUUUUGGCCUUUUUAUCAUUUAAGUGUAGUCUCAUCCAAGUGAACAAACUAAUAUCUAAUUUAUGCCUGCUUCUUGUGGGAACUUAUUUCUUUCCUUUUUUUCAAGGGAUAAUAUGGAAACCAUAAGAAAAGCGAGACAUGAUUCGCUUUUGGUUUAAUAUAUAGGCCAAUGUUGAGGUAUAUGCGACUAGUGUGCAUGAUCGCCGGUGUCUUUAGGAAUUGGGUGAUUAUUUAAUAUAUGCUACUUCUUUUCACUUUUGUAGAGAAAAUAAUAAGUUUUUUUUUCACAAAUUGAGUGAUUACUUAAUUUAGUUGAUAUGGGAUGAAUAGUUAUUAUAGAUGUGUGAAUUGAGUGGUCACUUGAUGAAAAGAAAGUAUUAGGUAGUUGUUGAAACCUAAUUUUGCCGGUUUGGCAAACCAUCUUUACUUGAGAAAAAAGAAAAGAAAAGAAAAUUUGAAUCAGGUCAGUUCGACCCACCCCUCUUGGGCCCAACCCGCGACCCUGCACCUGCUUGGCCUAUCUCUUCUAUAGUGCGCGUUUGACCCGGCCUCUCCUCCCUUUAUUCUCUCUUUCUCGCCCCGCUCCGUCGGUCCUCCGCCUCACAACACACAGCCGUCGCCGCUCAACGCUACUCGUCAUCCCACUUCUCCCGCAAUCGCACCAAGGCUUCUAUUUGCCCCUGUUUUCUUGACUAGAGUACUCUGAAGAGCUCGUCUCCUAUCCAUCCACCUUCGACGUAACAUAGAACUCGCUCCCUUCUGCUCGGAUUCAUGGCUUGAGGUCCUGAAGCGACUAGGUCUCGCUCGAGAUCCGUUUGUUGGCCCGUGACUCUGAUCCUUAACGACAAUCGGAGCUUCCGUCGUCAAUCCAGUUGCUAGUCGUAGCUUCGUUUCGGUCCUUUAACAAUGCAACAGUCUUACCCUGUUAUACUUUUUUUUUCUGAUGAAGGAGAAUAGCCGAAAUAGCAUGUUUCGGAUUAGGAUUGAAUCAACUUUUUCCAAGUCUAUGUCAACGAUUAGACGUAUCCCUGACUGUUUUUGGGUGGAUGUGAUCCGAGUUCGUUGAUGCUCAAUUUUAUUUUCCCGAAGGGAAAACGCGCACACGCGUUUAGGGAAGAGAGGAGAAUUCGCUCUAGAGGGCUCUCGUUCUCUCCUGCUCGCAGCUCUCAUCGACUUGCGGCCACCAGCAUGUCUUCCCUCAGCACGUCCGUUCGUAAUCGGUCGCUCGGUCAUCGCUCCUCCUGCUCGUGCCGUCACUUCUGGCUCACAGCGACGGAGGGCGAGAAUUCCUUUCUCGGCUCUCACUUCUCCUCCUGCAAUAUAGGGCCUGCAUGGAAACGUUUCUCGUUUCUGUUUCUGAACACUUUUUUUGUUUUUUGUUCCUGGGAACAAAAAAAGAACAGAAACGCGUUUGGUUGCGUUUCUGUUCUUUUUUUGUUUUUUUGUUCUCGGAACAAAAUUGGAGCAAAAAAAAGAAACACAAAAAACUUACUUCUUGUUCCAGAAACAAUUUUGAAGAAACACUUCUUCUUCUCUCUCUUCUCUUUUCUUCUUCUUUUUUUUUGGCCGGUCGCUGGCCUCGGCCAUGGCCGGCGACCAGCCACCGAGGGCCGGCGACGCCGUCGAGGGUUGGUGACCUCGUUGGAGCGUCGCCGACCCCCCGCGAGGCCGAGCGUCGCCCGCCCCUAGCGAGGCUCGGCCUCGCCGGAGCUGGGCGAGCCCAAGCUCACCCAGCCAAGGCGAGGCCGAGCUUGCCGGCCCCGUCGGCAAGUCGCCGGAGGCCAGGGACCGGCCAAAAGAAGAAAAAAUUAAAAAGAAAAGAAAAAAUUAAAAAUAAAAUAAAAAUAUUAAAAAAUUAAAAGAAACAAAAAAAGAAUAAAAUUUACCAAACGUGUUUCUAUUCAUUUUUUAUUCCCAGAACAAAUUUACCAAACGUAUUUUUCUGAUAAAAAAUUGUUCCCCGGAACAGAAACACUUUUUUUUUUUUUUUAAUUUCUGUUCCCUGGAAUAAAAAAAGAACAUAAACAUUACCAUGCAGCCCCAUAGUUGUUGGCCACCGCAACUUCUUCCUCUGGUUUGAGGUCGCCACUCAGUUCAUCACCGGAAGCUUACCUGUAGCUCACUAGCGCUCGCCUCCACUCUAAAUCACCUCUCUUCUGCUCCGCUUCCAUGUCAGUUGCCGUACUUUGUCCAAUCAUAGACUUCGCCUCGUCGUAAGGGAUUGACACAACCUUUCCGAGCUUCUAGUCACGAAACUGUCUCUUUGGUUUCUGGUUUUCUCUCAUUCGGAUGAAGUUUGGUCCAAGUCUUCAGAAAACGAAGCUGAGCGGAAUCUCUCUCUCUGCUGUCCUCCCUCCGCUCUCCACGCGAGGCUUAGCUUGGAGCCAUAUCAUCUCCUUCGAGAUAGUACACGAUUCCAAGGUUCAAGUGAGGGUGCUGAGUUCACUGAUUCUUUUGGCUUGAUGGGAGAGUUGAGAUGAAACGGCGAUUUUGAGGGACGCACGUUCUGUUCGACGUAUUGUCCGAGAGAGGUUUUACUUUUACACCCGUGCUCGGACUUGGUGGACUUGUCCUUCCAAUUUUUUAGCAAGCCCUAUCGUGAACCUUUAGGAGCAUAACCGGGAAGCUGAGUGGAGUCAAAUUGCGAGUCGGAUUUGGCGAUCCAGAUCAUCGCCAUGGUUGCAGCUGAAUGCCGAAAUGAGUAGUUGUUUCGGACGCUGUUGCUGCUGUCGUUGCAUCGUCUCGAGAGCUCGCGUUGGCGUUGAGGACAUUUUCUAUUAAAGCUAAGUCCAAUGCACUCGAUCUCUUGGAUUUUCCGUAGCGUCACGUAUGAAUGUUGCUGGCUUUGUUAAAAGCUCGUCGUUUCCAUUUUUUUGUUCCCCUUCGAAUGGGCUUUGAAUAGGUGGGCUUGAGCGAGUUUGGUAAUUUUGGGCUUGAUUUAGUCUAAGUGAGUUGGGCCUGGUCCUCAAUUUUAUGAAUCAACUUAAUGUAUUUAGGAUGGGCUUGCUUUCGUAGGCCCAAUCGUAUCUUUGGCCCACGCUUUGUGUACCUGGAACCGUGAGACCAGACCCAUUUCUAAAUAACUUUAUCAUACACAACUUCAUUCCAAUGGACAGAACCUUGCGCACAACUUCAUCCUGGGAUGGUUACUAAAACUGAUAGAGAUUCUCGAUCUCUUUCGACCUCUACAACACUCGUGUCCAUCAUCCUUUCCAAUACUCCGAAUGAAGUUUAUGAGGAUUUUUUUUUUACAUAGCAUCUGAAAGUACGAACAAAGAUGCAGGAUUGGAAGUAAUCGAGGAUACCCUUGUAUGGAACCUCAAUAUCAUCACUUGUGUUGUUAGUUUUUGUAACUGUAACAUACUUGACAAGCAUUUUAUCAAACUUAAAAGAUAUUUCAUCAGUUUAUCUUAAUUGAGAAUUGUCGCGACCUACCCUCGGAGGGAGGGAACAGGUUUAGGGGUAUUGCCCAAAGGACGGACCUAAGGCCCGUGAUUGGGCGCGGGCUCUCCCAAGCCCAUACCCCGCGUGACGUUGGGAUAUUUUUCAUGGAUUUUGCACAAAGGAGUCGCCACUAGCCUAUUGGGGUCGGCUAGAAACCAAGUGAGGCAUGGGAGCGUGCCUCACUUCCUACACAACCAGAGAAUCUAGGUUCGGGGACUUGAUUACACUAAUUAACCCAAUUAGUGCCCUUUCGGUACCUAAUCUUGUUCAUUUUAACAAAAUGAUUUUUGGCAGGCAGUUUAAAUUGAUUUUGUACCUAUCCACUAACAUGCGAGGUGAUCAGGCAGGUGCGCAAUCAUUAAAGUGAUAAUCAUAACUAACAAGGUCCUAAUUGCAGUAAAAUUAAACACGUGCAAUUAAACAUAAUUAGAUAUGCAAAUUAAACAUGCUAUAUAAUUAAUAAACGAGCAAAUAAAUGCCUAAUUACACUAAAAAUGCAAUACAUAACAAUUUUCUAACCAAAUCCUACAUUUUUUAUUUUCGAAAUUUUUAAUCUUUUUUUUUUAAUUUUAAAAAAAUUAAUAAAAAUAAUUUUUUUUUAUUUUAAAAUUUUAAAUUUUUUUUCUAAUUAAGAAAAAGGUCGAAUUUUUUUUGAAUGCUUUCUGAGUUUUUGAAUUUUCGGAAAUAUUUUUGAAUUUUUUGAAUUUUUUUGAAUUUUUAUCAUUUUUUUUUAUUUUUUUUUAUUUUUAUAAUUAAUUUUUGAAUUUUUUUAAAUUUUUAAUAUAUAUUUAAUAUUUAAUAUUAUUAUACUUCAAUAAAAUGGGUUCGGACCGGGUAAACCCGAUCCGACCCGCGGACCCAACCCGAACCUAGAUCCAACACUUUUAGAUUUUUUUUUUUUAAAAAGAAACAAAAAAAAAUUAAAAAAAAAAAAUCCUUUCGGUUGUCUUUUCUCACCGCACACUCUGUGUCCUUUUCUUGCACCUACUGUUCAACAGUCAUUCCCGAAGCCCACUUUUCAUUUUAUAGUUUUCUAUUUUUCAUUUUGCUUUUCUUUUCUUUCUUUUGAUUGAUUUUUUUGUUUUUUUUUUUAUUCCUUCUUUCUUCCCUUCUGGCCUUUUCACCGAACAUCCCCAUCUAUUGUCUUUCCUUCCCUUUUAUUUUUUUGGGUUUUCCUCUUUCGCUUUUUUUUUACUUGCUGGUUCUCCUCUUUUCUUUGUUCUUAUUUUUUUAUUCUUUCCCUCCUCCCUUCUGACCUUCUUCAUUACGCUUUCAUGCCCGACUCUUUACCCAGGACAUCCUUCAACCGAGACCCCACCGGCACGACAACACCAGUGAGAGCAACCGCCAUCCUUUCCACCGCCAAAACACCACUAUCUACCCGUUAUCCACUCCGACCGGCAACGACCACCGUCGGCCACGAACGCCGACAGCCAAACCAUUUUCGGAUGCAAACAUUCCCACGGCUCAAACACACAUGAUUAUUCCACGAAAAUCGUAUAGAUUCGCAAUGGAAACAUAUAAGAAAGGUACGGUCCAACAUAUAUAUGAGCAAGCGCGAAUCAGACGGAGUUUAAACUUGGGAUGCUUCUCGGUUCUCUUUGGGGCAUUUUGUCAAAUAGUUGAGGUGCAGCAGCUAAAAGGGGCAUACGGACUCACUCGAGGCUCGGAUUUGGGUAAAGAUCAACACAACGACAUGCAUGAGCAACGCUUAAGACCCGCUAAGGGACAUAUCAAUCACAUUCGAACGGAUGUGAGUACAACAAGUAUCUUUGGGCUUCAACAAACUUGCAGAACUUAGAUAUCGUUUACACAUUUCCACAAGCAUUUGGUGUGCAUUCCUGACAUGGGGAAGUUUCCGCACUAGACAAAUCUAAACCUCCCUACGACAUAUACUAGAAUAGCUAGCAGCUUUCAAGGGGGACCGGCUCAGACCGAAAUUCGCACGAACUAGUCGGCACGAGCUCCGGCCUAACGCUUCCCGAAAAAACAAGUACACACAGUCGAGACAAAAGCCUACCUGGUUCAAAAGGAGGAACGCGUCAAAUAGCAACUGACAAACGAACCUCCGGCGACGACCAACCACUCUCUCGAGCUUGCACUUUCUAUCUAGGUCGCUCACUCACUCCCUCUCCUCCUCGGUCUCUCUCUCUCUCUCUGUUUCUCUUUGUCUUGGGUCCGCCCCCCUUUCUCUCGGCCAAUCCCCCAUCUUUUAAAUCUGCCGUAGGUUGCUCCCUUUUGGCAUCCCUCCAGAGCGGUUCCGGAUGGCCAGCGAAGCCAGCUGCCUUUUCCUUCCAUCUCCAUCUCAAGACUGUCGUUAAUCAGCCUCCUCUCCCUGCCUGUGUAUGUGCCUGCAGCUAUUUCGGUUCUUGGGGGCGAGUUGAUGGUAUUUUCAGCUAAGAUGGCAGUAAGUUCUUUUGGGUUUUGACAACUGCAGGCAUCGCCAUGCUGCAGCCGUGUGUCAUCGCUUCCCCUUCUUCUGCUCUGUCUCCUGCCGCUUCCUCUGUUCCGUUUCUUUCUUUUUUGCAAGUCUUCGAAGACUGACACAAAGGGAGGAAGACCCUCGCUCGCGGGCUGAAAGGGAAAAAGGGGGCUGGGCUGCUGUUGUUUCCUUUUCUUUUUUUUUCUUUUUUUUAAUUUCUUGAUUUUUUUAUUGACUUUUUGAUUGAUUGAUUUUUUUUGUAAAAAUAGGUGUCAACAGCUGCCCCUCUUUGAAUGUAGCCUCGAAGAUGUUGCAUUCAAAGACAGAAGACACCUAAUUUAUUUCAAUGGUAGAGGGACCCUGAGUGCACAGGCAUGUAUCAGGUCAACAAAAAAGACUCAUAAUUAUGGAUGUGUGUCUUGUCGGUAAGAGGAAGACUCCGGGAUACAGAAACUCUCCGAGUCAUAAGAAGAGAUGAAGACUCUGGGAUAUAAAACUCUCCGAGUUAUAGGAAGAAAGACUCCGGGCUACAAAGCUCUCCGGGCUACAAAAGCUCUCCGGGCUACAAAGCUCUCCGUGUCAUAAGAAGAAGGACUCCGGGCUACAAAGCUCUCCGGGCUACAAAAGCUCUCCGGGCUACAAAGCUCUCCGUGUCAUAAGAAGAAGGAGAAGGACUGAAAUCUCACCGUGUAACAACGGGUUUCGACCAGGUUGAAAAUACAUGGUUUGAGGAAAACCCAUGAACCUUUGGGGAUGACUUGGUUUAAGGUUAACCAUACCUUUGGGUUUUAGGGAUGCGCCAGCUAACUCCUUGUAACUACAUGGCUUCACUGAAGAAUCCUGUCAAACUCAACUUGAGCAAAUGUCAUUAGGGACGUCAUCAAGAGACAUAUUGGCAAUAUUGUAGCAUUAAUUGAACAAGCUAAUCAAGCUAAGUCCGACUGUUUUGAAAAAAAAACAUUUGAUUUCAAUCGGCAUCAUGUGGCGCAAAAUUGUCAUAUUGCUUGUGGAUAUAUCAUUAAUCAUCAAAUUCUCUAGGAGUCAAGUUCUUAUCAAGACGAUCACGACUUGUGAACAAGGCUCAUUAAGCAUGCCAAACUAGAGAUUCUUAGUCAGAAAGGGCUUCUCACGUACUUUCGAUAAAAUGGCUGCUUGAUCCCAUCCGUUCAUGUGGGAGAUAACUGGUUGCUGAGGGUAUCUCACAUAACCUAGAUCAAAGGCUUUCAGAAACAUUCGCGAUGAGCACAAUCUGAUCGAUCAAAAAGGUCUUUUGAAAGGACCGCAAUAUAGGCUUGGUUAGGGCUUACACAAAGGAAUGAUUGCUUUGAGGCCAAUAAGGGAACACUUGUUGCUAUCUUUGUCGAGUUUACAAGUCGAGAACUUGAAAGAUAAGACAAGAUAUGAUUACUUCCACUUCUUCAAGCAAUAGUUUCUUUGUGGCAUCCUCAUUUUCACUCGAACCAUCCCAAUCAGAAGAGACUUCGGAAGAGGGUUGUAAUGUUGGCUCGGGAAAGGCUUGAAAGGCUUAACAUUUUCAAAGGGUUUUUAAGAGUCGGUGAUCAUCAUGGCACCGUGACCGGGUCACUCGACCUUUCGAAGGCAUUUGGCUUUUGAAACGCUGCACAUCUCGAAAGUCCCUUGACUAAUCAUUUCUACGUGGGAGCUUUGCUCCUUUCUCUAAUUUCCUUUGCGAUGAUGAUUUUUUUUUUUUCACCGGCACUUGGAUUUUGAUAAUUUUUCUUUUACAUAAGAUACAACCUUUUGGCUCUUUUUCUUGACGGGCAUUGGCCUUGCUUUUACCAGGCACACUGCUUUUUUCAUGCCCCCUAAUUUGUCAAACUUUUUGCUUUUUGAACUUUUGUAGCUCUUAUGACUUUCGAGAUGCUUUCCACAUUUCCUUGUGAUUGUCAAUUAUAUUUGGUCAAUUCUUAUGCCUUGCCCCAGUGAAGGGAGAUGAUCACCGCUCGGGAUUCAUAAAUGAAUAAUCAGGCCCAAAUUGGUUAAAACAAUGGAUAUCAGUGUUUGGGUAGAGAAGGAAAUGCUCUUCUUCACUUUAGGAUGAGUCAAGCUCUAAUGAGAAUUCCUUUGAAGCUAUCACCAGAAGAUUAAUGCAAGUGAAAGUAAUAGAAUCUUUCUUAAUCUUUCGUUCUACAACAUGAUCAUAACCUCCUAUGCUACCCCAAUGUAGGGUUGUUCUUGACAAUGGUACUUUGAAGUAUCAUUUUUUUUUGGCCCAAAGUGAUAACAUGAGAUUAGUGCAAUGCUUGGGAUUGAUGAAGGGAACGCCUUUAUCAUUUCGGUCUUUGUGCUCAAUGCGAAUGAAUCAUUCGUCCUAAGAGAAGGUCGAUUUUCACUCAACUCUCGAAAGUGUCUGGAGGAUGUGUCUGGAAAUGGGCUUGUCUUUCUUCAUCCUAAGUACUUCUUGUUUGGCAUGGUUAACCUUUCACUCUUUUGCCCAAAUAAGGUCAUUUUUACGAGCCAUUUUCUUGAGGGCCGCAGACGUGAAGCGUGCAUAGUGACAUCAAAGAAUAGGUCAUGCGAAUCAUGUCAUGCAUUUUUGUUUUUGUCCUUAUUCUUUUGUUUGUUUGUUUUGCCCCCCUUUUAUCGUCUCAACUUACCUCUCAAAAGAGACAUUCAACCUGUUGUGCGAAGACUUGAUGGAUUCUUGAGUUGGUUCUUUCCCCUGCCAUUUCCUCGUUAGACGGUAGGAUGCCUGAAACACAAAUAGAUAUGCGUGUAUGCAACAUAUGCAUGAUGUCUACAAUGCUAUGCAUGAUACUAUGCGACUUGAAUUGUGCAUGAAGUGGCCCUUCGGCCUUGAUUUCAUUCAUGGAAAAUACUUCUUGACUGCAUCAGUAUUUACAGGUCUAGGCAAUUCACUGCCAUCCAUUUCAACUAAAAUCAUGGCACCACCAGGAAGAAUCUUCUUAAUGACAUACGGUCCUUCGUAGUUCAGGGUAAAUUUGCCACGAGGAUCUGGUAUGAUCAGAAGCACCUUCCUCAACACUAGGUCGUUGACUUCGAAGUGUCUGGGACGCACCUUUCGGUUGAAGGCUUUUGCGACUCGUCUCUGAUAGCACUGACCAUGACACAUAGCUUGCAAUCUCUUCUCAUCAAUCAUGUUUAACUGCUCAUGCCUCUGUUGCAUCCACUCAGUCUCAUCAAGCGUAGAUUGAGAAAGGACCCUUAAGGAAGGGACUUCAACUUCAACAGGCAAGACUGCCUCCAUCCCGUAUACGAGUGAGAAAGGAGUUGCCCCUGUGGAGGUGCAGAUAGAAGUUCGGUAUGCCAUUAGCGCAUAAGGGAGCCUAUCGUGCCAAUCACGAUAAUUUUCAGCGGUCUUUGAUAAGAUUUUCUUUAUAUUCUUAUUCGCCGCCUCCACUGCUCCAUUCAUCUGAGGACGGUACGAUGACGAGUUUAAAUGCUUAAUUCGAAACUCACUGAAUAAACCAUCUACGACUUUGUUAUUCAAAUUAGUGCCGUUGUCGGUAAUGAUCGCCUCCGGCACCUCGUAACGAGUGAUAAUGUCACGACGAAUGAACCUUGCCACAUUCUUGGCAGUAACAUUAACAUAGGAGUUGGCCUCGAUCCAUUUGGUAAAAUAGUCUAUCGCCACCAAAAUAAAUCGAUGCCCAUUUGAAGCCUUGGGAUUAAUGGGCCCGAUCAUGUCAAUUCCCCACAUUGAAAAGGGCCAGGAUUGAGACAUUUGGUGAAGUUCAUUUGGAGGGGCAUUUAUCCUAUUUCCAUAAAUCUGGCACUGGUGACACCGUCGUACGUGCUGAAUGCAGUCAAACUCCAUGGUCAGCCAAUAGUAACCAAGCCGCAUGAUCUUUCUGGCCAAGAAGUGUCCGUUCAUAUGGGGGCCGCACUCCCCUUCAUGUAUCUCUUUCAUCAAACGGUCGGCUUCUUUAGCAUCAACACACCUUAGCAAUAUUGAGUCAAAGGACCUUUUAUAAAGGACGUCUCCACUAGCGAAGAAUCUUGAUGCCAGCUUUAUCAAAUGUUUUCUGUCUGCCGCUUCACUUCCUUCGAGGAAUUCACCCUUCUGCAGAUACUUCAAGAUGUCAUGAUACCAAGGUUAUCUGUCCAGUUCCUCUUCAACCGUCAUGCAAUAAGCCGGGCGCCUGACGAUUUCAAUUCUCAACGGUUCAAUGUCCAAGCCUCCAGCUACUUGCAACAUCGAAGACAAGGUAGCUAGGGCAUCGGCGAACUGAUUUUGAGACCUUGGUAAGUAUUCGAAUGAUAUUUCUUGGAAUUCUUUCGUCAACUCUCCAAGGAACUCAUGAUACGGGAUCAAUUUAGAAUCAUGUGUUCGCCAUUUGCCUUUAGUCUGUAAGAUGAUAAGGGUUGAAUCACCAUAAACUUGCAGCUUCCGAAUUUUCAUAUCAAUGGCGGCUUGGAGGCCGAGAAUGCAUGCUUCGUAUUCAGCGAUGUUAUUCGUACAAGGGAACGUCAAUUUAGCAGCGACGAGGUAAUGUUGUCCAUCCGGGGAGAUAAGAACUGCCCCAGGACCCGACCCGGCUAAGUUAACCGCACCAUCAAAAUACAUCGUCCAUUUGUCGCUUGAUACAAGUAAAAUUCGCCCUUCUGCAUCACUAUCCCCAUCAGAUGCUUUGGACCUCUCGGAAUUUUUUGCCAACAUAUCUGCUAUGGCUCGACCUUUAACGGACUUCUGUCCCAGGCUCUGAACGUCAAACUCAGAAAUUAAAAUUUGCCACUUGGCCAAUUUGCCAACCAACGCCGGCUUCUCUAGGAGAUACCUGAUAGGAUCAUUUUCGGUCACCAACAAGAUUCUGUGAUGAAGUGUGUACUGCCGCAACCUGUGCAAGGCCCAAAUUAAAGCCACACAAGUUCUCUCAACUUCCGUAUAGUUCAUCUCAGAAAUAGUGAAUUUCUUGCUCAAGUAGUAUAUUGCGCAUUCUCUCUCGUCGUUUGGUCUUUUCUGGGCUAGCAUAGCUCCCAAUGACUCAUCAUGUAUGGUUAAGUACAAAAUCAAGGGAAUUUUAGGGAGAGGGGGCACUAAGACUGGUGAAUGAGUGAGAUAAUGUUUUAUCUUUUCAAAGGCACCAUGGCACUCGACAUUCCACUCAAUCUUUGCAUUCUUUUUCAUGAGUUUGAAGAAUGGUUUUGCCGUUUCAGACAACUGACAAAUGAACCUCGCCACAUAAUUAAGUCGUCCCAUCAGGCUGCGGACUUCUUUGACGGUAUUCGGGGGUCGUAAAUCGCAAAUGGCUUUAACCUUCGAUGGAUCAAUCUCUAUGCCCCUACUACUAACCAUGAAUCCUAAUAGUUUCCCAGAUUUCGCUCCAAAAACACAUUUUGCGGGGUUGAGGCGCAACUUGAACUUCUGAAGACGUUCAAAUAACCUUCGCAAGACUUUAAUGUGAUCUUCACCACGUCUCGAUUUCGCAAUCAUAUCGUCGACGUAUACUUCGAUUUCCUUGUGCAUCAUGUCAUGGAAUAACGUGACCAUGGCCCUCUGAUACGUUGCCCCAGCAUUCUUUAAACCGAAAGGCAUCACUUUGUAACAAAAAGUUCCCCAAGGAGUUAUGAAUGAUGUUUUGCUCCUGUCUUCUUCCUUCAUACGGAUUUGGUUAUAUCCAGAAAAACCAUCCAUGAAAGAGAAUAACUCAAACCCCGCCGUAUUGUCAACCAAGACAUCGAUAUGUGGGAGUGGAAAGUCGUCUUUAGGACUUGCUCGAUUCAAGUCGCGAUAGUCAACACACACCCUGAUUCGCCCAUCUUUCUUCAUUACGGGCACGAUAUUUGCUACCCAAUCAGGAUAACGAGUUACUUCAAUAAAGUCUACCUUCAAUAGUUUCAUCACUUCUUCUUCAAUCUUUUUGGACAACUCUAGUUUAGUUCUCCUAAGUCUUUGCUUCUUGGGCGGCACAUUGGGAUCCGUCGGUAAAGCAUGUUCCACAAUUUCAGGAUCCAAUCCCGGCAUGUUGGCAUAUGUCCAGGCAAACACAUCUUGAUACUCUUUCAGAAGGUUAGUCAUACUUUCCGCUUCUGACUCUGAGAGACAUGCCCCGAUUUUUACUUCUCUGACAUUCUCUGCAUCGCCCAAAUUUAUGGUGAUUGUUUGCUCUUCAGUCAACGGCUUCGAUUCUUCGUGUCGAUUCCAUUCGCGCUCGACCCUCUUCCGAUCGUCAUCGUCGAUGUCAUCGGAACCUGAGGGACUUUCUUCGUGCACAUCUGAGUCACAUGCAUCCUUAUCAUGAUUAUUCAUAAUGUAAUGCCUGAGAUGCGAUGAGAUGAGUUAGAAUAAUGUCAACAACAAAAACGAUGCAUGUCAUUUUCAAAAAGCUUUCGAAGUAUUUUUUGUAAAAAUUUCAAGAACUUGUCCUCAUAUCCUCGGAUUUCCUCGUUGUUGCGGAACAGUCAAAUAAGGGAGCAUGUGGAGGCCUAGGCCUCAGUGACCAUCAUAGGGCUAGUUUGAUGUGCUUCCACAUGUCCUUAAUAAAACAUGUGUCUAUUUUAUUGAAUGAGGAAAGAUAAGGCCGUAUUUUAACACACACCACCCUCGACCAACGGCUCAAGAUCGAGGCUGAUUAUAGUUCACGUUACAAAUGACGAAAACAGGAAAUAAAUAAAGAAAAACUACGAGAUCCCGCGCAGGGGAGAAGACAUAAAACGAAAGACCAGGCUAAACGAGAACCACCCUACUUUGGAGGGACAUCCAUGACUUCAGAGGACUCGGCUUCCUCGCACGCCAGGAUGGUGCAUAUGACGUCUUCCUUAAAUAGCUCGGUCACACCAUAGAUAUCCUCCUCUUCCUCGAACAACAUCCUUGGGGGUCCUGGAAACGUCUCCUCCAGCAACGGGGAAAAUGAGCUUUGAUAGCGCUCGUACUCUUCAGUAUGGGCAACGCGUUCACUCUGGUCUCUAUACCCGUCUCGGCCUCCUCGGGCACCUCGGCCUCCAUUCCUUCCACGACCUCCUUGGUUGUUAUGGCCUCCCCACUUCUCGACAUAUCCCAAGCCUCUUCUUUUGAAGUUUUUACGAGCUUCGAUGGGUUUUCGCACACCUUGACCGUGUGAUCCAAGGCCCUCUCCAGGAUUAUACCCGCUUGCUAGCAUAAUCUUUCCCGCAGCUAUGGCCGGCUUAGACAAUUCAGGAACCUUUGUGAAAGACCCUGCAGGCACGUGGACCAUGGAUACCAGCUCGAAGGUUUGAAAGCUGGAUUCCUCGGUACACUCAGGCUCCACAUAUGGGAUGGUCGUCUCAUGGUAGAUCUUGAAGUCAGAUUCUCCAUGGACUGUGAUAAGCCUGUUAUCCACCAUAAAUCGUACCUUCUGAUGGAGGCUAGAGGCAACAACGCCUGCUGUGUGGAUCCAUGGCCUCCCUAGCAGAAAAUUAAAAGCGCUUGGUAUAUCUAACACUUGGAACACGAUUUGGAAGAGUACGGGGCCAAUCAACAACUCAAGCUCAAUUUCCCCUAUCACUUCCUUCUUCAUCCCGUCAAAGGCCCGUACAGUUGACUUGGUAGUACGGAUUCUCCCAAGAUCAAUGCCCAGACGAUGGAGGGUAGCCAACGGGCAUAUAUUAAGUGCCGAACCAUUAUCAAUCAACACUCUACAAACAAGAGUGCUCUCAUGCUUCACCGAGAUGUGUAGUGCUUUGGUAUGAUUAGGACCAUCGGGAGGGAGAUCCUCAUCCGUAAAGGAAAUCUGGUCUUUCAGUAGAACUGCUCCGACAAACUCUUCCAAUUGGACUUCAUCGAUUGUUUCGGGUACGUGUACCUCGUUGAGGACCUUCGGCAAGAUGUCCCUAUGCUUCUCGGAGGAUUUCAACAACUCUAGGAGGGAGAUUUGGGCUGGCAACUUCCGCAGUUGAUCUACCACAUUGAACUCGCUAGAUUUUACUAUGGCCAAGAAUUGCUUCGCUUCCUCCUCAGUCACGACCUUCUUUUCUAUUCCUUUAUCGGGUGCAUAACAGCGGCCCGAUCGUGUGAUAGCGUCUACCUCAUUUAUUUGAUAAUCCCAAGGUGCAGCUUUGGGAUAUAAUUUAGGAGGACUCUCCAACACUAUUACUCCAUCUUCCUCCCGUGAUGGCAAUUCAAUUGUGACUGGCGUUACAUUCCCUCCCGUGACUUCGAUUGCUGACAUUUCCUCGACUAUAAGGUCAAUCACUGUAGGUUCAGCGAUUUCCAUCUCGAUAUCGCCGGCAAUCUCCUCAUCCGAUAGUUCAAUCACCAUCGGAGUUAUCAUAGCUAUCAUCCCUUCCUCGUACAAAGCCGGGGUCUUCGAAAUUCCAGGCAUAAUCUUCUUCGCUCGAGAUAUACGAGCAAUGUUGCAAAAAGAUGAGUGGAAUGAUGACGGGACUAUCAUGGAUACGACAUUCUCUUCCUCUUCUCCGCAUCGAAUUACCCCCAUGGCUACCAUCCUGCGGACGUGGUUCAGUUUCUCGUCCGGGGUGACAUCCUGAUGACCUCCAUAGUAUCCUGCCAACACUAAGGACUCAUACAACUUGGAAGCAUUCGCAACUAGAGGCUGUUGACUUGCCUGUGUCUCCUCAAAGAUUGAGUUCACUCCCUCCGCAUGGUCCGGUAGGGGGUUCUGUUGCACAUUAGGCUGAGCUUCCUUAAACGUCAAAAUGUUUUUGUCCAGUAAUUGUUGGACUUUGUACCUUAGCACAUUGCAACUAUCUACAUCAUGCCCCCUUUCUCCCAUGUGGUACUCGCAGGUCUUGGUCACAUCAAACCCGGCGAACCUCGUGGGGUUGUCCCUAGGUACUUCCUUCGCAACCAUCCUCUUUUCGAGAAGCAUAGGCAACAGCUUUGACAAUGGUCAUGGCAGUGGGGAAAAUUCCUUUCAAAAGGGUCUCUUGCCCUUGUCAUAUGCUCGUGAUGAGCUCCCUUGAAUGGCCAUAGGCUUGUGCGAAGGUGCUGUGGGCAACUUAGGGUAAAAUGACUCUUGCACGAGCGCUACCUCAACUGCAGCUUCCUUAUCUUUUCUCGCCUGGAACUUCUUCGUGCCUCCGGUGGAUAUCUUCCCUUCGAUGAGUGCCCACUCAACUCUUUCACCUACAUCUACCAGCUGUGAAAAUGUUUGGCAUCCCGAAAAUACUAAUCCUUGGAAGUAUUCGGGGGGUAAUGUCUUGAGGAAUAGUUGCUUCAUCUCCCUCUCAUUCAAAGCUGGCUUCACCUGUGAGGCCAUGGUUCUCCACCUUUGCGCAAAGGCUUUAAAUGACUCAUUUCUUUUCUUCUCAACGCGGGUCAAUUCUUCUCUCGUAGGGGCGAGCUCGGUAUUAAACCGGUAUUGCUGCAAGAACUCGUUGGUCAAAUCUUCCCAACUAGUGAAUUCUUCAAUGUCUAGCGCAAUGAACCACGUCAGGGCAAUGCCUUCCAAGCUAUCUUGAAACGUGUGUAUGAGAAAUGGCACGUUGUCAGCGUAACGAGCCAUUUUCCUCAUGUAAUAUCUGAGGUGGGUCUUGGGACAUCCCGUUCCGUCAUAUUUUCUUGUGAACUCAGGCUCUUGGAAGUUCUCAGGGAAGUUCGUCUUGGUGNNNNNNNNNNNNNNNNNNNNNNNNNNNNNNNNNNNNNNNNNNNNNNNNNNNNNNNNNNNNNNNNNNNNNNNNNNNNNNNNNNNNNNNNNNNNNNNNNNNNNNNNNGUUGGGUUUUCCUUUGGAGGAGGAUCCAGAUUGACGAUAAUUGGCGCGACAGAAGGAGCCUCCCCAGCAGUUUCUUUCCCAGGGGGAUCAGCAACGUGCAUGCCUUCUGUUGACACUGGAGUGGAUGUUCCCGUGACAGCUACAGCAGGGGGCUCCUUGAGCUUCUGGCUUAUUUCAAGCAUCAUUGUGGUGAGUUAGGCCAGCUGGUCCUCCAUCUUGGCCAUGCGUACGUUGGUGUCCUCGUUCUCCAUUCUGACUUUCGCGCGCAUACGAAUUGGAGAUCUCCGCUUGGCCGUGUCGACGAUCGGUAAAAGACAAUCGAUUGGCUAGUACCUGAACAAGGAUAGAUAAGCAUGUAUAAGCAUGGAGUAAUGAUUAGGCGGUCGGUCCAUGACAAAGAUCUAAUCGCCCAAAUUUGCUCGUUUCAUUGAAAGCAAGGUUGCUACAUAACGCAGGAAAAGACAUGAGGGAGAACCCCUAAACAACGAGGCUAACCAUGACUCUUAUCUCUCGAUAACGCGACUCGAGACAAAUUCUUUAACAUUGUAACAUACGUGGGCAUGGGCCCAUUACAUAUCACGCUUGACUCAAUCUAACUAGCGAGGAUAGCUCCCGCUUGUGACCGCCCCACUAACUCGGGUCAACUUCGAGGCACGAUCUUCGGCUUCUUCGAGCUUCCUUUUGAGGCGCUUGAUCUCGGCUCGAUGGGUGGUCUUUAAUGGCACAUCAGGAAUCUUCGGGCGUAGGCUCUCUGGGAUUUUAUGCCUAAGGAUGUAUUCCAUUGAGGCAUAGUAAGUCUUCUCUUGCCCUUCCAACUCCUCUUCGGGCCAUAUCAGCUUCUGGGGAUGGCACAUAUCCCACAUCGACUUGACUAAUGUAACGGAAUCUAGUGAUCUUGGCAUCCAUCAGGAAAGUCUAUCCUAAGUGAGUCUUCUUGAAUCAUCGGUGGAAGUUGUUGAACCUCUUGGAACUGACGGGUGACUCGGGUUGGGUAAUACUCAGUGACUCCGGUAAUUCCCAACAAAGGAACCGGUCCAGUAAGCCCACACACGAACCGCGCUUCUCGAACUCGGAGCCAUUUGGUGUGCCAUUGGAAAUCUUCGGGUCCAGGGUUGGUCAUGAAAGCUAACCACUGAGAAUAGUGAUAGUCGGGGGCAAACGUCUUCCUAUCUUUAAACUUCAGGAUAGGGUGGCUAGAGUCAGAGAUGUCGUUCACGGUCAUUAGGCUACCAAACCCUUUAACCUGAGAGAAGAACCAAAUUUGCAAGAGUUCAGGAGGAGCGUGGAAAGUUUUGUUUUUGUUUUCUUUGAAACGAGCAAGGGAAAGAAAAGUUUCAGUCAGGACAGCGUUAACAAAGCUCUUUCCCAUACAUACCUCACGAACUACCCAUGCCACGGAAGGGUUAAUAGCGUUCCUACAAUGUGGGAAUAACACGAACCCGAAAAAAGCUAACAAGAAGAUCCUAUUCUUUUGAAAAGAUGGGGCAUUUUGAAAAAGCUCAUUUAGGAAUGAAAAUGGGCAAGUCUUGCGAUUAGCUUUCAAAACUUUUCUCACGUCAUCCUCCUUAACUAUAAGGAAAUUGGAUAAAGUCAAUGCAUGCUCAGUCCCUACAGGUGGGCCAAUUAACUCCGACACCAAAGGCUUUCCCAUGACGACACUGUAUUCUUCCAGGAUUGGAGUGAGCUCGUGGUCACUGAAUAUGAAUGUGCAAGUCUCGGGACACCAGACAUGCGCCAACGCUCGUACAACACCAUAAUGAGUUUCUAUUUCUAAAAGGGGAAGUAAUCGUCCGACGUUGGAUCGAACCCAAUCAUGGCCAGUCGAGUCUAGUCUAUCCCACCAUGUGCGAAGCUCGGCUUUCGGGGUAGCAAUGAUGUGAAGCUCGGGCAUCCCCAUCGUAUACUACUCACAGUUACGAUCAACCUAAUUUGCCAUGAACCAACCAAAAAAAGAAAGCGAAUAAGUAAAUUACGAAGGAGAGAAUUUGAAAAUCUUACCCUACUCAUUGAGUAGCAAAGCCAAUGACAUAGACAUACGCAUGGACAGUGGUUCAAUUUCUUACUCUAAAUGGCUCAAAAUGGAGCCAUGGGAUCAUCGGACUGAACCAGCAAGGUUGCGGCUAGGUCGGGUUACCCAUGACUCCGGCUUCGUCAAAGAACCGACCCGUGUCGCGCGGUUGCAGACCGGGGUGGGUACCUUCAACAUGAAGAAAGAAAUUUCGGGGUUAAGGUGGGCGACUCGUACUACGCGGUUGUAGUCGGAGUGGUAUCCACCUUAACACCAUCCUAGGUGAUCCUAUGCGGCCCAGGUCCGGCGGCAGGUUGUGUGUGUUAUGGUGUAGUGCAAUGCAGGAGACUCAUGCAUGAUAAUUUUAAAAAAAACAAUCAGCACUUCAAACAUGAAUAAACCAUUCACUCUUAUACCCCUACAAAACAAAUGUUAGAAAUCACCACCCCUUAUAACUCCCAUAAACAAUUAACAUUUGACAUGUUAUGGAUGCACAUAUUAUCUUUGCUGCCAAACAAAAAUAUUUUUGAACAAGAUUAAUUUUGGCCUAAGUCCUCUAAAGUUUAAAACCAAGUCCCCAGCGGAGUCGCCAAGCUGUCGCGACCUACCCUCGGGUGGAGGGAACAGGUUUAGGGGUAUUGCCCAAAGGACGGACCUAAGGCCCGUGAUUGGGCGCGGGCUCUCCCAAGCCCAUACCCCGCGUGACGUUGGGAUAUUUUUCAUGGAUUUUGCACAAAAGGAGUCGCCACUAGCCUAUUGGGGUCGGCUAGAAACCAAGUGAGGCAUGGGAGCGUGCCUCACUUCCUACACAACCAGAGAAUCUAGGUUCGGGGACUUGAUUACACUAAUUAGUGCCCUUUCGGUACCUAAUCUUGUUCAUUUUAACAAAAUGAUUUUUGGCAGGCAAUUUAAAUUGAUUUUGUACCUAUCCACUAACAUGCGAGGUGAUCAGGCAGGUGCGCAAUCAUUAAAGUGAUAAUCAUAACUAACAAGGUCCUAAUUGCAGUAAAAUUAAACACGUGCAAUUAAACAUAAUUAGAUAUGCAAAUUAAACAUGCUAUAAAAUUAAUAAAUGAGCAAAUAAAUGCCUAAUUACACUAAAAAUGCAAUACAUAACAAUUUUCUAACCAAAUCCUACAUUUUUUAUUUUCGAAAUUUUUAAUCUUUUUUUUUUAUUUUAAAAAAAUUAAUAAAAAUAAUUUUUUUUUAUUUUAAAAUUUUAAAUUUUUUUUUAAUUAAGAAAAAGGUCGAAUUUUUUUUAAAUGCUUUCUGAGUUUUUGAAUUUUCGGAAAUAUUUUUGAAUUUUUUGAAUUUUUUUGAAUUUUUAUCAUUUUUUUUAAAAUUUUUUUUAUUUUUAUAAUUAAUUUUUGAAUUUUUUUAAAUUUUUAAUAUAUAUUUAAUAUUUAAUAUUAUUAUACUUCAAUAAAAUGGGUUCGGACCGGGUAAACCCGAUCCGACCCGCGGACCCAACCCGAACCCGGAUCCAACACUUUUAGAUUUUUUUUUUUAAAAAAAAGAAACAAAAAAAAAUUUAAAAAAAAAAAAAUUCCUUUCGGUUGUCUUUUCUCACCGCACACUCUGUGUCCUUUUCUUGCACCUACUGUUCAACAGUCAUUCCCGAAGCCCACUUUUCAUUUUAUAGUUUUCUAUUUUUCAUUUUGCUUUUCUUUUCUUUCUUUUGAUUGAUUUUUUUGUUUUUUUGUUUUUAUUCCUUCUUUCUUCCCUUCUGGCCUUUUCACUGAACAUCCCCAUCUAUUGUCUUUCCUUCCCUUUUAUUUUUUUGGGUUUUCCUCUUUCGCUUUUUUUUUACUUGCUGGUUCUCCUCUUUUCUUUGUUCUUAUUUUUUUAUUCUUUCCCUCCUCCCUUCUGACCUUCUUCAUUACGCUUUCAUGCCCGACUAUUUACCCAGGACAUCCUUCAACCGAGACCCCACCGGCAUGACAACACCAGUGAGAGCAACCGCCAUCCUUUCCACCGCCAAAACACCACUAUCUACCCGUUAUCCACUCCGACCGGCAACGACCACCGUCGGCCACGAACGCCGACAGCCAAACCAUUUUCGGAUGCAAACAUUCCCACGGCUCAAACACACAUGAUUAUUCCACGAAAAUCGUGUAGAUUCACAAUGGAAACAUAUAAGAAAGGUACGGUCCAACAUAUAUAUGAGCAAGCGCGAAUCAGACGGAGUUUAAACUUGGGAUGCUUCUCGGUUCUCUUUGGGGCAUUUUGUCAAAUAGUUGAGGUGCAGCAGCUAAAAGGGGCAUACGGACUCACUCGAGGCUCGGAUUCGGGUAAAGAUCAACACAACGACAUGCAUGAGCAACGCUCAAGACCCGCUAAGGGACAUAUCAAUCACAUUCGAACGGAUGUGAGUACAACAAGUAUCUUUGGGCUUCAACAAACUUGCAGAACUUAGAUAUCGUUUACACAUUUCCACAAGCAUUUGGUGUGCAUUCCUGACAUGGGGAAGUUUCCGCACUAGACAAAUCUAAACCUCCCUACGACAUAUACUAGAAUAGCUAGCAGCUUUCAAGGGGGACCGGCUCAAACCGAAAUUCGCACGAACUAGUCGGCACGAGCUCCGGCCUAACGCUUCCCGAAAAAACAAGUACACACAGUCGAGACAAAAGCCUACCUGGUUCAAGAGGAGGAACGCGUCAAAUAGCAACUGACGAACGAACCUCCGGCGACGACCAACCACUCUCUCGAGCUUGCACUUUCUAUCUAGGUCGCUCACUCGCUCCCUCUCCUCCUCGGUCUCUCUCUCUCUCUCUCUGUUUCUCUUUGUCUUGGGUCCGCCCCCCUUUCUCUCGGCCAAUCCCCCAUCUUUUAAAUCUUCCGUAGGUUGCUCCCUUUUGGCAUCCCUCCAGAGCGGUUCCGGAUGGCCAGCGAAGCCAGCUGCCUUUUCCUUCCAUCUCCAUCUCAAGACUGUCGUUAAUCAGCCUCCUCUCCCUGCCUGUGUAUGUGCCUGCAGCUAUUUCGGUUCUUGGGGGCGAGUUGAUGGUAUUUUCAGCUAAGAUGGCAGUAAGUUCUUUUGGGUUUUGACAACUGCAGGCAUCGCCAUGCUGCAGCCGUGUGUCAUCGCUUCCCCUUCUUCUGCUCUGUCUCCUGCCGCUUCCUCUGUUCCGUUUCUUUCUUUUUUGCAGGUCUUCGAAGACUGACACAAAGGGAGGAAGACCCUCGCUCGCGGGCUGAAAGGGAAAAAGGGGGCUGGGCUGCUGUUGUUUCCUUUUCUUUUUUUCUUUUUUUUAAUUUCUUGAUUUUUUUAUUGACUUUUUGAUUGAUUGAUUUUUUUUGUAAAAAUAGGUGUCAACAAGAAUUGUAAUUAGAAUCUCCAUAGCAUCCAUUUCAUGCGAAACUAGAAGACUCGAAUGGCUUGCGUGAACUGUGAGAAAGAUGGAGGAAAGGGAAGUUAAAUGGAUGAAGAAGCCAAAGCAUGCAUAAGAUUUCAUGGACCAUGAAAUGUGANNNNNNNNNNNNNNNNNNNNNNNNNNNNNNNNNNNNNNNNNNNNNNNNNNNNNNNNNNNNNNNNNNNNNNNNNNNNNNNNNNNNNNNNNNNNNNNNNNNNUACUUGUCUACAAUAGUAAAUAGGGGUAUAGAGGUUCAAGGUUAUUUUACUGGAAAAUGUUCAUAAAUGACUAUUUUCUUCAUUACAUAUUAUUCAAUUUCGUCUACCAGACGGUAGUAACUAGAGCCACACGUUUCUACGAAAUGAGAAUUGCCACAAUAAACUUAACUAACUCGUCAUUCAAAAAAAGUGGGGAAGGCUUCCGCAUCGUGUACAUGUAGAAAAAUCCUAUUUCAUGCUAGAUAUGAUAUUUCAAGUAAAAACAAUUAAUAAUUUCAACAUUCUAGCACCAAUUUGUCAAUGCCCAUCUAGAAUGGAUGUCCUGAAAACUCUUCCACCAUUCUUUUUGCGUUUAACCAAGGAAGAAAUUUUAUGGCACUAAGAAUUUUCCACACCCAAGUAGACCCCAACAAAGACUUUGACCCCAACAACAACAUUUGAUGAAGACUUUGACUCCUUAACGAUUCUAAUUAAGUGCACUGCUAUCUUAGAGGCAUUGUGCUUGACCAAAAAACAUGGAAUUCUACAAGUCCCUCUAUUUUCUAUAUGAUGAAAAUUGUCAUCAUAUUCACGCAAUGUUAUGAAUUAUUCAAAGUUUUAUACCGAACAGCGAUUACCAGAGUCACGCAUAUCUAUGAAAUGAAAAUUGCCACCAUAAACUUGACCUAUAUGCCUUUCAAGAAAAGCGGAGAAGGCUUCCAUAUCUUGGAUAUGCAGAAAAUCCUAUUUCAUGCUUGAUAUGAUAUUGCAAAUAAACAAUUAAUAAAGUUCAACUUUCUAGCACUAAUCUAACAAUGCCCAUCUAGAAUGGAUGCUUUGAAAACUCCUCCACCAUCCUUUAUGUGUUCAGCCAAGGAAGAGUUGUAUGUACAUGUUAAUAUGCACACGUUAUGAGGGUUUCGAAUGUUUCGGAUUUAAAAGGAAAAAAGGAAAUGUGUAGAAAUCGCAAGAUUCAAAUUAAGUAGAAAACAAAUAAUGAAUAGUGGAUCUUGGACUUGUACCUAUCAUCUCACUUGUCUACAAUAGUAAACAGGGGUAUUAUAGAUUCAAGGUUAUUUUAUCGGAAAAUUUUCAUAAAUGAUUAUUUUCUUCAUUACGAAUUAUUCAAUUUCGUCUACCCAAUGGUAGUACCCAGAGCCAUACGUUUCUAUGAAAUGAGAAUUGCCACCAUAGACUUGACUAACUCGUCAUUCAAAAAAAGUGGGGAAGUCUUCUGCAUCGUGUACAUGUAGAAAAAUCCUAUUUCAUGCUAGAUAUGAUAUUUCAAGUUAAAACAAUUAAUAAAGUUCAACAUUCUAGCACUAAUUUGUCAAUGCCCACCUAGAAUGGAUGCCUUGACAACUCUUCCAGAGUCCUUUUUGCAUUUAGCCAAGGAAGAAAUUCUAUGGCACUAAGAAUUUUCCACACCCAAGUGAACCCCACCAAAGACUUUGACCCCAACAACGACAUUUGAUGAAGACUUUGACUUCUUAACGAUUCUAAUUAAGUAUAUUGCUAUCUUAGAGGUGUUGUGCUCGACCAAAAAACAUGGAAUUCUACAAGUCCCUAUAUUUUCUAUAAAAUGAAAAUUGCCAUCAUAUUCACGCAAUGUUAUGAAUUAUUCAAAGUUGUAUACCGAACAAUGAUUACCAGAGUCACACAUAUCUAUGAAAUGAAAAUUGCCACCAUAAACUUGACCAAUAUGCCUUUCAAGAAAAGUGAAGAAGGCUUCCAUAUCUUGGAUAUGUAGAAAAAUCAUAUUCCAUGCUUGAUAUGAUAUUGCAAGUAAAAACAAUUAAUAAAGUUCAAUUUUCUAGCACUAAUUUGAUAAUGCCCAUCUAGAAUGGAUGCUUUCAAAACUCCUCCACUGUCCUUUAUGUGUUCAGCCAAGGAAGAGUUUUAUGUACAUGUUAAUAUGCACACGUCAUGAGGGUUUCAUAUGUUUCGCAUUUAUAAGGAAAAAAACGAAAUGUGCAGAAAUCGCAAGAUUCAAAUUAAGUAGAAAACAAAUAAUGAAUGUCAAUCUUACAGGCCUAUUUGAUCUAAUUGUGGGAACAAAAUUGAGAGAGGGUGGUUCUCUUCUUUGUUGCACAAAGCCAUGGCGAGGGCAUCCUUUGUGAGUAACUAUUCAUAGGUACCCAUUGAGUUCUCUAGUUUUUUUAGUGGAUAGAAUCUAAGUCCAAAGAUAUUAACUUCCAGUUUAAAAUUUUAUAAUUGUUUCUUGUGGGAACUUAUUUCUUUUCUUUUUUCAAGGGAUAAUAUUAAAACCAUGAAAAAGUGAAUCUUGCUUUUGGUUUAAUAUAUAGGCUAGUGUCAAGGCACACAAUAUGUAUGUUCAUGAUCAUCGGUGUUUUUGGGAAUUGAGUGAUUAUUUAAUAUAGGCUACUUCUUUUCACCUUUAUAGAGAAAAUAUCCAAUUGUUUUAGGAAUUGAGUGAUUAUUUAAUUGAGCUAAUAUGCAACAAAUAGUUAUUACAAGCGUAUGAAUUAAGUGGUCACUUGAUGAAGAGAAAGUAGUGGGUAAUUGUUGAAACCUAAUUUUGCUAGUCCGGCUAACAAUAUUUCCUUGUUAAAAAAGGAAAAGGAAAAAUUGAAUCGGGCUGGUUUGCGGCCCGCUUGGGCCCAGCCCGCGACCCAGCACCCUCUCGGCCUGUCUCUUCUCCAGCCCACGUCCAGUCCGUCCUCUCCUCCCUUUCGUCUCUCUUUCUCGACCCCGCUCCGUUGGUCUUCUUCCUCACGACACGCGGCCGUCGCCGCUCUUCACUGCUGGUCACCCCACUCCUCCCGCAAUCGCACCAAGGCUUCUGUUCGCCCUUGUUUUCUUGACCAUAGUACUCUGAAGGGCUCUGCUCCUACCCAUCCCUCCUUCACCAGUUCCGACCUUUGACGUAACGCAAAACUCGCCCCGGUUCUGCUCGGGUUUAUGGCUUAAGGUCCUGAAGCGACUAGGUCUCGCUCGAGAUCUGUUCCUUGGCCGCGACUUCGAUCCUUAAUGAUGAUCGAAGCUUCCGUCAUCAAUCCAGUUGCUAGUCAGGGCUUCGUUUCGGUCCAUUAACAAUGCAACCCUCUUAUCCUGUUGUGCUUUUUUCUGGUGACGGAGAAGAGCCGAGAUAGCAUGUUUCAGAUUAGGAUCAAAUCAACUUUUUCUGAGUCUAUGUUAACGAUUAGACAUAUCACGGGCUGUUUUUGUGUGGAUGUAAUUGUAGUACGCGUUCGUUGAUGCUCGGUUCUAUUUUUCAUACUACACACGAAAUGUGUCCGAGAUGUGGCUGUGAAAUGCUAUUUACUGUUGUUCAAUCUGAAGACGUGUUUUAAUACGAUUUACAUGACAUAAGUUGAUAUGCUAGCUGUUAAGUUUGGCUUUGACCCGUAAUGAGAAUACCGAGAGAUUUACUGACUUCAUGUUCUCUGAUUGAUGCGUGGUGUCAUUGACGAUGGCCUUGUCAUGGUGAUUAUUGACGAGAAAUUGGAUCCAAGAAAUUAGUUGUGUUUGACGUCUCUCCGAUCACGACAAGCGUCGCAUUUUGCAAAGAAGUUAGAGAAUCAAAAUCUUUUUGCUUGUUUUAUUUUGGUGUGUAUCCGUGAUGUUAAGUAAAGAUUCCCAUAUGAAUGGGCGAGGGGUGCCGGGGGCCCCGACCCAAAGAUACGUAUUUUCCCCUAACAAAUUGGGAUGGGGGAGAAAAUGGCGGGGCAUAGAGCCAGGAUUUAGGUGGUUUUAGUACAUUAGGUUAACUACUGAAAGAGGUGAUCAUCAAGUAUAAAAACAAGACUUGAUGGAUAGCUCUUUCGACAAAUUAAACUAACGCCAUGUAUUGCUAAGGACAAACUUAUGUUUAGUUUUGGGUUCCACUUCUCUUUUAGCUUAGACUCUCUCUCUCUCUCUCUUUCUUGUUGUUUUGACCAUAUUAUCCUUUAUAGGAUCCACCACUUCUCAUAAAACUCUAUAAAAUUAUUAUUUUUUUAAAAAUCAUUUCACGCUUUUUAUUUUGUUUUUUCUUCUUCUUUUUUCCUUAUGCAUUUUAUUUUGCAAAUCAUCUUUCUCUAUUAUCUUGCAUCAUUAUUUUCCAACAACUGAUGAUAAAGAACUUAUGGAAACAUAGUAAGAAACUAAACCCAGAGGGAGUAAUAGUCUAUAGGAUGCAAAUAUGCUACAGACUACAAAGUAGCUGUGCAAUUAAUUCUCAAACACUAUUUUGAUGUAGGCUAUACUCUAAUCAUAAGAUUGAAAUCCAUGUUCAAGCAUUUCUAUGACCCAAAACUCAAAUUCACUUUUUAAGAAAAGAUACCAAGAAAUAUUCGAUAGCGAUCGGAUAGAGCAUGAUUUGAGACCAAGAAAACUAAAAAGGGAAAAAAAAAAUAGAAAGGCUUUCGCUAGAACCAUUUUUCGGUAGUGAAUGAGGAGGGCGUGAAUUGUUGAAUUAAGCAGUUCUUUUGAGGAUUACAAAUGCUCGAGAUGUUUGUGGGAGAAGAAGAAGAAUAAGAAGUGGGAGGUGUAGAAAGAAGAUAAUGGCUUGCAAGAGUGAUGGUUUGCAAAAGCGAAGAACAAACUGAGAUGUCAAAGGCAUGGAAAGAAAGAAGAAGAAAAAAAGUGAGACCUACAAGGAAAAAAAAAACAAUGACCAAAUAAUUUAAAAAAAAAUCACUUUUAUAAAGUUGUACAAGAACUUGUGGGCUCAACAAGGGAUAGUAUGGUAAAAAGAAAAAAAGUUAGUGUCUAAGCCAAAAAGAUGAAUGGAAAAAAACACAGCCCUCACUUCUACAUACGUUAAAUUACAAAAGAAAAAUAACUUAAUUAUCCAAAAAGUCAUAAACUUAUUUAGGAUAGUCAAUUCGAUCAUAAAUAUUUUAAUUGUGCAAAUUUAGCCAUAAUUUUUUUUUUAUGUCCAUCUAGUCUUAAACAUUUUGAAGUUUUGCUAAUUUAGUCUAAAAAGUUUCAAACCCGCGAUUGAAUGGGAGGACACGGGUUAGAAAACAUUGUCAGCAUGAAAACUCGCUAUGGGGUCGAUGUAACUGCAUUGCUUCUAAAACUCUGGCAAGAUAGAUAUGGUCGCAAGUGUUCCCGCUUGCUUCGACUGGCUGAACCACUGUGCUAGCAGAUAAGAGAGCUUAGACACCGACUCCUCCACUUCCUCGCAGCUUGUGGACAACCCCGACAUAAUUGCUAGCUACAGAGAAGGCGUGGAACCGCGCAGAUCCGCGCGAAGCAUGUGGUGGAGCCAGAAGACGACUUCGAGGGCGAAUUUUGCAGCUUGGAUAUUUCCUCCCCCCAGCUCAUUUGAGACCCUUGAACGCUUUGAAGAUAAUGUCCACGUGCCUAUUUUCAUCAAGACUUGCACGUAAAUACCUGAGAAAUUUGAUAGAGCAGCAGAUUGCAAAUCCUUCUUGCUGUCAAAAGGGAUGGAGAAUAUCCAUAAACUUUUAUGGGAAAUUCUAAUAUCACGAUUCAUAUUGACAAUUCAAAUUAUAUAGUCCUAUUUAUAAUUAGAGGUUACCAUCUAUAUUAGAUUAAUUAAAGAUAUAAAAUAUAUGUAUGCUAUUCUAAAUUUAAAUAUAUUAAACCAGACUUAAUGCGCAAACCUUAUUAGUUGACUGCUAAGGAUAGCUACAAUGUACUUUCCUUAUUCUAAUAUUCGCAAAAGCAUAUUUUUUUUUUUAAACUGAUGAUGUUACCUUAGUUAAGAUUGUCAAAUUAGUAGAUAUAUUUCUCAAGUCUCAAUUGCAUAUAUCUAUCAACAGUUUGAAAAAAGAAUGUGGAAAAACAAAUACAACAACUUUAGUAAAUUCAUGUAAAUUAACUUUUAAACAACGUUACCGACCAAAAAAAAAAAAAAAUUUUAAACAACGUUAGCAAAGAAAGGAAAACCUACUCAAUAAUAACCUCUUUCUGUAAUCAACUCAACUAAAGUACAAUUAAUAUAUAUUAAAUGUAAUUGCAAGUUUGGCUGUUAAAACUGGCUGUUGAAAUAGACCAAACGAGCAAAGAGCAUUAGUCAAUUGACUGUCAAUGAUAGUCACAAUUUUCUUUUGUAAUUUAAUAUUUAUGAAAACCUACGAUUUUCCCCUGGUGAUAUUGCGAUGAUUAGCAGUAUCAAAUUAAUAGAAAUUUAUAUAUAUCUCUCCGUAAUUUAUAAAAUUAAUUUGGAAGAAUGAAUCAAACGAACUCAACGAAAUACUUCGGAUGAUCGUUAAAAUAAUCCGUAUGUAAUUAUUUUUUCGAGUUUUGUUUGCAUACAUUUGUUAUAAUAUCAAAAUGUUGAUUUGGAAGAACAAAUAAAACAAUUUUAGCAAAAACGCAGUUCGGUCACUCAGUAAUUAAUAAAUCAUCUAUAUUUUCUAAGCAACCUAAAUACGAAAUAACAUUUGCUAAGAAGCAAAGUAUGAAUAUGAAGGUAAGUCAUUUUGCUUUCUUAUUUUGCGGGUCGGGUCGGGUCGGAUCGAGUGAUUGAACACGAUUUGGUUCGUUUCGAGUAUUGUCUUCUCUCGCGGUCAAUUUGGGUCGGGUCGGAUCUUCAAUAACGGGCCGCCCAUCUGGGGCUCCUCCACGUGCUUCCUUGUCUUUUAUAGUCUCACUCAGUUUCUCCGCGCGCCUCUCCCCCUCUUCACAUCUCGCUGUCUGAAGACAUCGUUGGUUGGAUUUCGCAGCUCGGUCCUGCAUUCGCCGUACUUCCUCUCGAAAGGAUCCGUCACUGGUGCUCUCUUGUCUUCGAGUGGAUGUGCAUGGUGGGGGUCAGAGUUAGACCCGCUCGUUCCGCAUUUUCUGAUUGAUUCCAUGGAAAAUUCUGGACUAAUUUGUUUUCUUUCGGGUCCGUUUCGCGUGAUAUCGAUUCGCUCUCGUGUUUCUUUCUUAGUUGGCCGCUUAAAAGCUGUGUCUUACGGCUUUCUGGGAUGCUUGGUUAUGGUCUUUCGAAAAUUGCACAUUGAGUGUUUGAUGAAAGUUGUGAAAGAGGAGUCAAAUGUACAAGAGAACUAUCUUUGCUUGUUUAACGCAUGAUAUGCCGUUGAAACGUGGAAUGGAGAAAAACCAAUGGAAACUGAGUUGUGUUAGGACGGUUUUCUGUCAUGACACGAGAUGGCUUUGUUCGAGUGUGGUUUUCUCGAUACAUCACAUACAUUAGUCGUUUGACUGCUUCAUGAGAUAAUUUAUCAGCAGUCAGGGUCAAUAUUGUAUCUCUCGGCUGUUAAUGGUUUUCGUUGUUCUAGUGCAAUGGUGUGGGAACUAAGGGUGUGUUUGUUUUGCAGAAAAUAUUUUUCAGAGGAUGAUUGGUCAUAUUACUUAGAAAAUUUAGUGAAAAAUGUUUGCACUAUCGAAUUUAUGACUAACUAUUUUUGUAGAUGAUGGAAAUAUUUCUCAUUUAAUCUUGAGCUUUCCAUGAACUAAAUGCACCCUAAGUUACUUAUUUACAAAGAUCUUGUUUCCAGUAUAGUUCUAUUACAGUCUACUCUACUGCAAGCUUAAGGCUUGUGGUUUGUACUUCUCCUCUUUUGUCAUGAAAAAGCUGACUUUUAUAUAACCAAAACAACAUACUGGGCCUUGACAUAAAGAGGGAUGGAAAAGACUUUGACUUCUUAACGAUUAUAAUUAAGUGCACCGCUAUCUUAGAGGCAUUGUGCUCGACCAAAAAAAUGGAAUUUUACCAGUUCCUCUGUGUUCUCUUUUGUCUUUCUGAGCAAUUGUUAUUAAACCUUCCUUUUUCCACAGCACAAUUAUGUCGUCCGGUCCAAAGUGAUGCCUUACUUCAAUUCAAUGAUUCCCUCACAGCUGAAACUGAUACAGACUUAAAUUGUGAUCCAAAGAUGACUACAUGGAAGAACGGCUUGGAUUGCUGCUUGUGGGACGGUGUCACCUGUGACAAUGUAACGGUGUCUGCAGGGGACCCUCCGUUCUAACAGUUCACUCUUUGCACUUCGCCAUCUUCAGAGCCUCAACCUUGCUUUUAACAAUUUCAGUUCCUCACCCAUUUUGCCUGAACUAAGUGUGUUUGCUGAACUAAGGCACCUCAAUCUCUCUCAUUCCGGUCUUUCAAGUUUAGUUCCUAUUGAAAUUUCUUUCCUUUCUAAACUUGUUUUACUUGAUCUCUCUUAUAACUAUAAGACCUAUGGUAAUUUUGAGGUACUUAAGAUUGAAAAUACUGCUUUCAAAAUCCUUGCUCAGAAUUUGACAGAGUUGAUGGAACUCAACCUCGAUUUCAUAGACAUGUCUGCUGUUUCACUCAGUUCUUUCGUGAAUUUAUCAUCCUCCUUGACGUUUUUCAGCGCGUUUGACUGCAUAUUACAAGGGGAACUUCCGCCCAACAUUUUUAGCUUGCCUAACCUCCUUGAUCUCAAUUUGGAAUACAAUGAUUUAACAGUUUCUUUUCCAAAGUCUAAUUGGAGCAAGUCUCUUGAAUCCUUAACCCUCUCUUAUACAAGCAUUUCGAGCAAAAUACCCGAUUCAAUCGGUGAAUUCAAGAAUUUAAAAAAUCUAUAUCUUAUUAACUGCACAUUGAUAGGUUUGAUUCCCUCAUCACUUGUGAACUUAACAAAAUUAACCAGUUUGGGCCUUUCACGCAAUGAAUUAACUGGUCAUAUCCCGUCAUUUUUUGUAAAGCUUGAACAACUCAUGAAUGUAGACCUUUCUCUCAACAAGUUCACUGGUGUUUUAGACUUGGGAGUCUUUUCGACACUGAAAAAUCUGCAAACCCUUGGUCUUACGGUUGAGCUAAAUCCAAUGUACAACGGUAUGAAUCACACAUUUCCGAAGCUUGAGACUUUGGGCUUGCCUUCCUGCAACUUGACCGAGUUCCCUCCUUUUCUAAACUCUUCAAAAAUGCUAAGAGAAUUAGAUCUCUCUGAAAACAAGAUUGGCGGUCAGAUACCGAUAUGGUUUCGGGAUGUAGGGAAAGGUACCCUACAGUAUCUUGAUAUUUCUAGUAACCUUAUUGAGGGAGGCAUACAACAAUUUCCUUGGAAAGGGUUGACCGAUGUUGUCCUUAGUGACAACUUAUUCCAGGGCCCGCUUCCUAUUCCACCACUCCCUAUAGUCCUCUUUCGAGCCGAUGACAAUCGCUUCAGUGGAGAGAUUCCCUCUUCCAUCUGCAAAUAAGCUCCCUUAAAUAUCUAUAUUUGGCUCGUAACAAUCUCUCUGGCUCUAUUCCACAAUGUUUAGCCAACCUCUCACAACUAGACUUGAGUGCCAACAAGUUUGAAGGGAGAUUUCCGCAGGCUAUAAACAAUUGUGCAUCAUUGACCUGGCUAAAUGUCAGUCACAACAGAAUCAACGAUACUUUUCCGAAGUGGUUGCUAGAAGCCCCCUCAUUACAGGUCAUCGCUCUGCAGUUCAAUGAAUUUCAUGGUCAAAUCGAUCCUCCAAGUGUUCCAUUUCUUCCCUCAAGCCUUUCUAUGUUUUCCAUAUCUAACAAUGAUUUAGAGGGUCAAUGGCCUGAAGAAUAUUUUCUCCGUUGGUUGAAUCUAGUGACUGCUGAUCUAUCCAACAACAGAUUUGAAGGUCCUCUUCCGAUUCCACCGCCCACCACUAAAAUCUAUUCCAUUGCAAACAAUAAGAUUGGUGGAAAGGUUUCCCCUUUGAUAUGCAAUGCCACUGAGCUCAUAGUCCUUGACUUGUCCAAUAAUAGUUUGAUGGGCACCUUGCCAUCUUGCUUGAUGAGCUUUAGCGAAAAUCUCUCGGUGCUCAACGUCCGAAUCAACAUGAUUCAAGGUGUGAUCCCUAGAAAAUUUGCUAAGGAUAGCAAACUAAGGACUAUUGACUUCAGUCGGAAUCGAUUUGAAGGGACAUUGCCACCGUCCUUACUACGUUGUGAAAAUUUGGAGGUUUUGGAUCUCGGCAACAAUAGAAUCGAGGAUACGUUCCCCGAUUGGUUGGGAACCCUUCCCAAGCUACAGGUUCUUGUUUUGAGGUCCAACAUGUUCCAUGGUUUUGUGAGUAAUCCUAGAGAAGCUCGCUCAUUUUCCGAAUUGCGCAUUUUCGACCUAUCCAACAACAAUUUGAGUGGUCCCUUACCCGUUAGAUAUAUUAUGAAGCUUACUGCCAUGAUGAAUCAGGAUAAAAGGCGGGGGAAGCUGAAGUAUAUGGGAGAUCAUAACUAUCAAGAUUCAGUCAUGGUGACCAUGAAAGGACUGGAGAUACUGUUGGUGAAAAUUCUAACUGUUUUCACAAGUAUUGACUUAUCAAGCAACCAUUUUGGUGGGGAGCUUCCCAUGGAUAUUGGAAACCUAAAGUCGCUCAAAGGGCUAAACUUUUCCCACAACAAUCUCACGGGCUAUAUCCCUUCAUCUAUUGGCAAUUUGAUUGAACUCGAAUGGCUAGACCUCUCUUCAAACAAGUUUACCGGAAGGAUUCCUCAAGAACUAGCAAAUUUGACGUCUCUUGCAUUCUUGAACCUCUCAGAGAAUCAGCUCAUUGGACCUAUUCCUCAAGGAUGGCAAUUCAACACAUUCGAGAGCAACUCGUUUGCCAGGAAUCCUAGGCUAUGCGGAUUUCCAUUGCUAGAGACAUGCGCAAACAGUUCACGAGAAAUUCCACCAGUAAUCAUCCUUCAAGCAAACAAUAUGGAGCACGGAGGCUGGUUUGAGUGGAAAGCUAUAUUGAUGGGUUAUGGGUGUGGAACCGUAGCUGGAGUCUCUCUAGGAUACAUUGUUCUCGGAUCUAGAAAAUUUGAAUGGCUCGCGGGGUUGCUUGAAAGGAAAGGAGCUAAUAUGAGAAAGAAGUGGAGGAGGAAUGCUCGUAGAUCUUAUCAAAGAUGAAAAUCUCGACUGUUCAUUCUUUGCAUUGUAAUAUGAUGAGUAAAUCUGUUGAGGUGCCUUGAGACCGAUUACAUGCUUAUUAUUUUGGCCUUUUUUUAUCAUUUAAGUGUAGUCUCAUCCAAGUAAAAAAAAUAAGAUCUAAUUUAUGCCUGCUUCUUCUGGGAACUUAUUUGUUUCCUUUUCUCAAGGGAUAAUAUCGAAACCAUAAGAAAAGCGAGACAUGAUUCGCUUUUGGUUUAAUAUUUAGGCCAGUGUUAAGGUACACACGACUAGUGUGCGUGAUCUCCGGUGUCUUUAGGAAUUGCGUGAUUAUUUAAUAUAGGCUACUUCUUUUUAGUUUUGUAGAGAAAAGAAUAGAUUUUUUCAGGAAUUGAGUGAUUACUUAAUUAAGUUGAUAUGUGAUGAAUAUUUAUUAUAGAUGUGUGAAUUGACUGGUCACUUGAUGAAAAGAAAGUAGUAGGUAGUAGUCGAAACCUAAUUUUGCCGGUUUGGCGAACCAUCUGUACUUGAAAAAAGAAAAGAAGAGAAAGAAUUGAAUCAGGCCAGUUUGACCUGGCCCUCUUGGGCCCAGCCUGCGACCCUACACCUACUCGGCCUGUCUCUUCUAUAGUGCGCGUCCGACCGGGUCUCUCCUCCCUUUCUUCUCUCUUUCUCGACCCGCUCCAUCGGUCUUCCACCUCACGACACACAUCCAUCGCCGCUCUUCGCUGCUCGUCAUCCCACUUCUCCCGCAAUCGCACCAAGGCUUCUAUUUGCCCCUGUUUUCUUGACCAGAGUACUCUAAAGAGCUCGUCUCCUAUCCAUCCACCUUCACCGGUUCCGACCUUCGACAUAACAUAGAUAAAAGCACCCCAAGUGACCUAUUUAUAAGGAUCUUGUUUCUCCAAUAGUUCUAUUUGUAAGGACCCAUCUAUAGUCUCCUGCACCGCAAGCUUAACUUAAAGAGGGAAUGGAAAAGAUGAACAUUCUAAUUUUCGGAUUAUGUUCCCUUUUAUCUUAUGUUGGUGCUUUGGUUCUAGUAAUGCGAAGUUUGUUAUAUUGAUUACACAACUCAGAGCUGGUUAUCCCACCGCCAGCUAAGUCACCGAGAAUAAUAAACUUUCUCAAACCGAGACGUGGCCGCAGCUGCGAAGAUAGGAAAGAUACCGGGAGAGAGGCUGCUGCUCAAGGGCAUUGCUACUGUUGAAGUCCACUUGAAAAGAGAACAAAAGUAUCAAGGCAAAGAUAAGGCAGUCAUCGAUUCUGUGAGAGAAGCAAGUGUGAAGUUGCUUUGAGGACUCCUGAACUUAUUGGCUGUAUUUGUUUUAAGACUUGUGAUCUUUGUUCGAAGUAAUCUUUCACUUGAGAAAGAUUGAAAGAGAGUGCAUGAACUUUUUGUGUUGGAGGCUGCUUAUAUUAAUUUCUUCUUUGUAAGAAUAUAAGCAUAUUGAAUGUUUGGGCAUGUAUGCAUCUGAGCAUGUGCUUUGGCGUGUUUGGAUAGAUUAUCAGGGUGAGAAUGAUUGAAAAUGAUGAGCCUGCCGCUCAACUCUUAAAUACUGAAGUCGUUGCAUCCAUACAAGUUGGUUCAGAGUCCAAUAUAGAUCAUUGAUUGCUCACAUUCGGCGCUUUCGUUUUCUAUCGGAGCCUUAUUGAUAUUGAAAGAAAAUAACUGCUUGAGGCGCUCGGCUUCCAAUGAUCUUGCACUAUUUGUAGCCUUACUGUUAUUGAAAGAAAAAAAACUGCUUGAGGUCCUCGGUUUUGCCCUUGGUCGGUCCAGUCCUUGGUUCCGAAAAUGAGGAACCGGGCCGUCGGUCCGGUUCCCGAUUCUGAGGUGGGAACUGAUCACCCCUAAUGCUCAUGGCUGAUAAUCAGCUCACGCCAAGGCCUGGUGACUGGCAAAGGAGAAGAAAAAAAUAAAAAAAUAAUUUAAAAUUUCAUUUUUUAAUCACUUUUAUGAUAAAAUCUAAUAUUAAAAAAAAAAAUAUAGAGUGGCAGGUGUUCGUGAGCUUUAGAAGACUCGGUUCUCACCAUCAAUAGCAUUUUGACUUUGUCGCGACCUACCCUCGAGGGGAGGGAACAAGUUUAGGGGUAAUACCUAAAGGACGGGCCUAAGGCCCAAGAUUAGGCGCCGGCUCUCCCAAGCCCAUACCCCGCGUGACGUUGGGAUAUUUUUAAGAAAUUUUGCACAAAAGGAGUCGCCACUAGCCUAUUGGGGUCGGCUAGAAACCAAGUGAGGUAUGGGAGUAUACCUCACUUCCUACGCAACCAGAGAAUCUAGGUUCGGGGACUUGAUUACACUAAUUAAUCAAUUAGUGCCAUUUCGGUACCUAAUCUUGUUCAUUUUAACAAAAUGAUUUUUGUCAGACAGUUUGGAUUAAUUUUAUAUUUAUCCACUAACAUACGAGGUGAUCAUGCGGGUGCGCGAUCAUUAAAGUAAUAAUCAUAACUAUCAAAAUCCUAAUUGCCAUAAAAUUAAACACGUGCAAUCAAACAUAAUUAGAUAUGCAAAUUAAACAUUUAACAUAAUCAAUAUACGGGCACAUAAAGGUCUAAUAACGCUAAAAUGACAAUACAUGGCAAGUCCUAAUCAAACCCCAUCAUUUUUUGAUUUUCCGAAAUUUUUUAAUUUUUUUUAAUUUUUUAAAAAAAAAUUAAAAAAAAAGAAAUAUAACUAAUUUCUAAUUUUUAAAAUUUUAUUUGGACUUUCGAAAUUGUUUUAAUUUUUUUAAUUUUUUAAAGAAAAAUAACUAAUUUUUAAAUAUUUUUUGGAUUUUCGAAAUUGUUUUAAUUAAUUUUUAAAUUUUUAAUUUGUUUAAAGAAAAUAUUUUUAGAAUUUUAAAUUAAUUUUUUAUUUUAAAAGGUGAACCGGGUCGGGUUCGGUUCGACCCGACCCGGUCAACGCGGAUCGGGUCCGGUCGAAGACCGGACCCGGAUUCGGUCCAAAUGGAGGGGCCGGCUGAACUGGCCCGCUUGGAAGCAAGGCCCGACUUGGUAGGGCCUUACCUUGGCUUGGAUUGGGCCCAACCAGCGGGCCCAAUCUGAUCUAAUACUUUCUAUUUAAAAAAAAGAAGCCCACUACCUAAGCUAGCCCAAACCCAAAAGGCAGAUGGCCCACUACGACAGGCCCACGUGGAUAGAAACCCUACCCGGUUCGCGACCCGUGCCCGACCCGUUUUUGGGCUGAAACCGAGGGUUUGCUGGCGGCGCUGACAACGGCGGCGGCGGGCUUGACGGCAGCGGCGGAGCAGAUGCGGAGACGCGGCGGCGCGGCGAACCAGAGGCGAAGACGCAGCGGCCGGCCUGGGAUCUACUGGCGUCGGGGGCAGCGGCGUCGAGCUACAAGCAGAGCACGGCGGGUUGUUGCGGGCGGAGGAGCGAGGCAGCAGCGGCAGGGACGGCGACGCGAGCUCGCAGGCGAAGCGGUGACGCGAGCUUGCGGGCGAGGAGGAACUCCAGCGGCUGGCGGGACGGUGGCCGACUCGGGUGGAGUGGCGGUGGCGCGAGGAGGCUCGGGCGACGUCGGAGACAGCGGCGGUGGGUGCUGUCGGUUCGCGAGCAGAGCACAGCAGGUCGUCACGGGCGGAGGCGCGGCGGUGGCUCGAGCUGCUACUGAAGGUGCUGGCGGACGUCCGGCGCUUCGGCAGCAACGGCGCGAAGGUGUGGGCGUCGCUCGAGGUGCAGAGAACGGCGGCUCGGCGUCGAGGAGAAAGGGCAGACUUGCAGGUGGCUUUGGCGGCGAGCUGCUCCCUCGGCUUCUCCAGAUCUGGGUUUCGGGGAAGACAAUGGCGGUCUCGGUUGGUCGAGCGGCGUCGGGUUGGGGCGGCGAGGAGGACAGCGGCUCGGAUGGCGUUUGGCAGCGCCGCCGUUGCCCUCCUCCCCUCCGUUUCCUCAGAUUUGGGUUCCGGAGAAGACGGCGGGGGACGGCCUCGAUUGGGCAGCUCGGCGCCGCUCCUUCCUCUCUUGAACUCUCUCUCUGUUCCCCCCUUUUUCUUCUCUAGUUUUUUCUUAGUUUCUCCUCCCCGCCCCCCCUCUCUGCCGAGCUCCCUGCCCCUUCCUCCCCUUCUGCCUCCUUCGAACCCCCCCUCCUCUGCUUGGGUUUCACGCACGAGAGGAAGAGAGAAAGCGGCAUGGGCCGGGCCAAGGCGAGAUUCGGCCCGGCCCCUUCCAUGUCUCUUUUUUUCUAUUUUUUUGUUGUUUUUUUGUUUUCUUUUUUAUCUUUUGUUUGCUUUGUUGUUCUUUUUUUUUUGUUCUCUUUUUUUUUUAUCAUUUUUCUUAAACGACUAAUUCCUAAUUCUGUAGACAAUUAAAUCCUAAAUGAAAAAUGGGAAAAAUUAGGUGUCAACAGACUUUAUGGUCUUCGUCGUGAUAUAUUUACCACUUUCUGCUUUAACUAUUUUCUUGUGCAUUUGAUCGGUUUCUUAUUGCUACUCCGUUAAUGAAUGACAGAGAAGAGAGAAGCCCAAGCACAACGUUCGAGACAAAGCUAUGACCCAGCAGCGACGAAGCAGAGUUUUAGGGUCGCUUAUCCCUCUUUCGAGUUUUAUCAGUAUUCGUGAGUAAGCGACAUCAAAUGGCAACAUGCACAUUUGCAAUCUGUAACCUGAUCUUCAUAAGUCGACGAGCAAAGAGAAAUGUUAGCUCAAAUUGUUUCAACACAAAUAGUUUUUUUAAUUUUGAAUUUUUGCUUCUAAAAAAUCGGAGGAAAAGUAGAUGCCAUGAUUCAAACACACGGAAAAUCAAACUGGACCAAAAUAUAAAAUUUUCCUUAAGAAAGCAAAAAUAAAACUACAGAGAUUAGUUAAAUGAGUAGUGUUGAGGAAAAGCCAUUGCCGUGCAGGGCAAGGCAAUCAGCGUAAUUUUGGGGCUUUUUGUCAACCGACUCUACGUCUUUUAUUGUCGGCCAUAUUAGCAAUUUUCUCGUUCUCAUCGACUACCAACGCUUUGCUUUUCGGUCUUCCAAGGCGUAAUAUAAAUAAUUUCAACUUUUAGAAAAGCAAGAGUGCCAUUCUUCUUCUUUUCACAUAUGGUGUUGGGAGAGAGAGAGAGAGAGCAAUCGAUUUACCAAGCGAAUACCAUGGCUAGCUCAGCCGCAGGAAGUUACCAGGAAGAUAGAGUGGCAGGUGUUUGUGAGCUUCAGAAGAUCCCAUUCUCACCACCGAUAGCAUUUGACUUUAUAGUCUUCGUCGUGAUAUAUUACGACCUUCUGCUUUAACUAUUUUCUCAUAGACCCAUGAUGGCAUUUAAGCGGUUUCCUAAUUGCUACUCCGUUGAUGAAUGACAGAGAAUAGGUCCAAGCACAACGUUACUGAUCGCAUCUCCUACAGUUGUUACAUCAUCAGCUUCACUGAGUUCUUAUCGUCAUCUCAGCAUCAGGAGCUAAAUUCAUACAAUUCUUUUGGACAAACGCAAGACAAUCCAAUUUUCGCUUGGAACAAUUAAUCCGACGGAUGAGUGUAAAAGCGUCGUUCACAUGUCUCAAGGUGGUCUCCAUUGCACGAUGAAGAGCGUGGCCUUACAAAUUGGUCUUGGCAUGAGAACACUGUAAUUUUAAAACAUAUUUUAUCAUAUCCAAACCAAAACAAAAACCAAAUAGUUGAUCACUUAACUAAACAUUACUCAAGGAUUAAAAUCUUUAUUUAUGUUGUUCUACAGAUUUGUUGAAUAAAAUUUGGCAAACAUUUAUCGUGAGUAGGUAAUAUGAAGAGAUUUAUUGUAGAAAGAAAAUGGACAUAGGCGAGCAUCGAAUUGAAUAAUUAAAAUAAUUGUUUUCUUCAUUAUGAUUUAUUCAAAUUCGUCUAUAAGACGGUAAUGAUCAGAACCAUGUGUUUCCAUGAAAUGACAAUCACCGCCAUAGACUUGACUAACUCAUCUUUCAAGAAAAGCGGAGAAGGCUUCCGCAUUCAUACAUACAAAGAAAAUCCUAUUCCAUACUUAACAUGAUAUUGCAAUAAAAAACAAUUAAUAAAGUUCAACUUUCUAGCACUUAUUUGUCAGUGCCCAUCUCGAAUGGUUGAACAUUGUGCGAGCAGAGAAGAGAGCUUAGACACCGACUCGUCCACUUCCUCGCAACUUCUGGACAACCCCGACAUUUCUGCUUGCCACCGAGAAAGCGCGGAACCUCGCAGAUCAGCCCGAAGCAUGUGGCCGUGCCCGAAGACGACUUGGAUGGCGAAUUUUGCAGCCUGGGUGUUUCCUCUCCCCCAGCUCAUUCGAUGCCCCCAAAAACACGGUCGCGGGCAAUAAAGACCUGAGAAAUUUGACAGAGCAGCAGAAUGCCAAUCCUUCUUGCUGUCAAGGGGAAAAAAACUACAUUUACUUUGAAUAUCAAAAGUUGUAAAUUCUUAUGAGAAAUUCUAAUAUCAUGAGUUAUGUUGACAAUUUAAAUUCUAAAAAACUAUUUGUUAUGAUAUCGAAACGUUGAUUUGGAAGAAGAAAUAAAAUAAUUUUAGGAAAACACGGUCCCUUCACUCGGUAAUUAAUAAAUCAUCUAUAUUUUCUAAGCAACCUAAAUACGAAAUAACAUUUGCUAAGAAGUAAAAUAUAAAUAUUAAUGUAAGUCAUUUUGCUUUCUUUGUUUUGUGGGUCGGAUCGGAUUAAGUGAUUGAACAAGAUUUUGUUCGUUUCGAGUAUUGACAUUUCUCGCGGUCAAUUCCAGGUGAUUGGAAAAUAAAGAAAUAGUUAAUAUAUUCAAGAUAAUUACAUAUUUACAAAAUACCGUCUUUUUCGAAGAAGGUACCAAAUAUGUAGGGGGCGGUCGCAUCUCUUCUUAUCUCUUAUUGUAUUUAUUGUUUGUAUACACAUGAAUAUGAAACCCAUCGUAAAAAAUAACUAAAAAGGGGUCGGGUCGGAUCUUCAUGUCGGGCCGCCCAUCUGGGGCUCCUCCGUGUGCUUCCGUGUCUUUCAUAGUCUCACUCAGUUUCUCCGCGCUCCUCUACCCCCCCUUCGCAUCUCGCUGUCUGAAGACGUCGUUGGUUGGAUUUCGCAGCUCGGUCGUGCAUUCGCCAGCGUGAUACUUCCUGUCAAAAGGGUCCGUCACUGGUGCUUUCUUGUCUUUGAGUGGAUGUGCAGUGUGGGGUCAGAGUUAGACCCGGUUGCUCUGCAUUUUCUGAUUGAUUCCCUGGGAAAAUUCUGGACUAAUUUGUGUUCUUUCGGGUCCGUUUCGCGUGAUGUCGGUUCGCUCUUGUGUUUCUUUCUUAGUUGGCCGCUUAAAAGCUGCGUCUUACGGCUUUCUGGGAUGCUUGGUUAUGGUCUUUCGGAAAUUGCGCGCUGAGUGUUCGAUGAAAGUUAUUAAAGAGGAGUCAAAUGUAGAAGAGAACCAUCUUUGCUUGUUUGACACAUGAUAUGCCGUUGAAACGUGGAAUGGAGAAAAACCACUCGAAACUGAGUUGUGUUAGGACGGUUUUCUGUCGGGACACGAGAUGGCUUUGUUCAAGUGUGGUUUUCUCGAUACAUCACAUACAUCAGUCGUUUGACUGCUUCAUGAGAUACUUUAUCAGCAGUCAGGGUCAAUAUUGUAUCUCUCGGCUGUUAAUGGUUUUCGUUGUUCUAGUGCAAGGGUGUGGGAACUAAGGGUGUGUUUAUUUUGCAGAAAAUAUUUUUCAAAAGAUGAUUAGUUAUAUUACUUAGAAAAAUUAGUCAAGGAAAAAUGUUUGCACUAUUGAACACAAUUUAUGACUAACUAUUUCAUAGAUGAUGGAAAUAUUUCUCAUUUAAUGUUGAGCUUUCCAUGAAAUAAACGCACCCUGAGUUACUUAUUUACAAAGAUCUUGUUUCCAGUAUAGUUCUAUCACAGUCUACUACACUGCAAGCUUAAGGCUUGUGGUUUAUACUUCUCUUCUUUUGUCAUGAAAAAACUGACUUUUAUAUAACCAAAACAACAUACUGGGCCUUGACAUAAAGAGGGAUGGAAAAGAUGAACAUUCUAAUUUUCUGCUUGUUUUCCUUUUUAUCUGACUUUGGUGCUUUCGUCGUAGCAAUUCGAAGUUCGUUAUAUUGAUUGCCCAACUCAGAGAUGGUUAUCCCACCGCCAGCUAAGCCACCGAGAAUAAUAAACUUUCUCAAGCCUUAUGUUCUGAAGAUGCACUUCACUAACAAGUUUGUAAGUGCCCAAGUCAUCCAUUCCCCAACUGCUACUAUGGUGUCUUCGGCGAGCUCGCAGGAGAAGGCUUUGAGACCAAGCAUGGACUCGACUCGAGAUGUGGCUGCAGCUGCGAAGAUAGGAAAGACACUGGGAGAGAGGCUGCUGCUCAAGGGCAUCAUCCCUGCUGUCGCUGUCCACUUGAAAAGAGAACAAAAGUAUCAUGGCAAAGUCAAGGCGGUUAUUGAUUCUGUGAGAGAAGCAGGUGUGGAGUUGCUUUGAAAACUCCUGAACUUAUCGGUUGUAUUUGUUUUAAGACUUGUGACCUCUGUUCAAAGUGAUCUUCACUCGAGAAAGAUUGAAAGAGAGUGCAUGAAAUUUUUAUGUUGGAGGCUGCUUAUAUUGAUUUCUUCUUUGUAAGGAUAUAAGCAUAUUGAAUGUUUGGGCAUGUAUGCAUCUGAGCAUGUGCUUUGGCGUGUUUGGAUAGAUUAUCAGGGUGAGAAUGAUUGAAAAUGAUGAGCCUGCUCUCAACUCUUAAAUACUGAAGUCGUUGCAUCCAUACAAGUUGGUUCAGAGUCCCAUAUAGAUCAUUGAUUGCUCACGUUCAGCGCUUUCGGUUUCUAGCGGAGCCUUACUGAUAUUGAAAGAAAACAGCUGCUUGAGACGCUCAACUUCCAAAGAUCUUGCACUCUUUGUAGCUCCAGAAAAUGUUCAAUUUAUACUAUUUACCCUAUUAACAUUGUAAGGCUAUGGGGGAGAAGGCAUAGGAAGCUAUAAGCGUUAGUUAACGGAUGAUCAGGUUGAUGAACCGUGACUUAAUCAUGAAGUAGCUCUAUCCGUCCGUCACAUAGAGAUGGUGACUUGACACUUGGCUAUGAAGCCAGAAGGACUCAGGGUUUAAGCUUUGUUAAUCAAGCAUAUAUGAAAAUCCUAUGUUGGCCUUAAUUUCAGCCAAAGAGACGAAGUUUAAGACAAAUUGAGUUGACUUUAUUAGCCGGACAAAGUUUUUAUAGCAAGAUAGCAAUCAUAAUCACGUUCAGGAAACUGCGGUGCACUGGACGUUCCUGAACUAGUGUGCUUCCCAAGAGAUUCACCGCCUAAUGUGGUGGUGCACGGUAUAAUUCCAAAGGAAGAGGCAAUAAAACUGAAAUUCUUUGUAAAUACCUGAAAGGCUCCAAAGGAGCUAGCUAUUUAUCCUGGAAGAAUUGCCCAGACAAUUGCUUCAAUCCGUUCUAUUUCGCUACUAGAAUACAGGUUCAGUCUCAAAAGCCGCAGUGAAAGACAUGCGGUUUGUGUCUUUCUCAAGCAGCAUGAUGUGAGGUUCCACGUGGAAGGCGCUGAAAAAAUGGAGCCACGAAGAUGCAAAUGUGUAUGUUUUUGCCAAAAAAAUUUUGGGAAUUGAAAUUUGGAAUAAUAUUGACCCCCGGAUAAGCAAAGCACCCAGAUUUGUGCAACUUAAUUCCAAUGGACUGAAUCUUACGAGCAACUUCAUCCUUGGAUGGGUCCUUAAACCAAUAGAGAUUUUUCGAUCUCUUUCAACCUUUGCAACACUCGGAUCUGUCAUCCUUCGCCAUACACCGAAUGAAGUUUACGAGGAAUUUUUGUUUUACAGCAUCUGACGUACGAACAAAGAUGCAGAAUUGGGAGUAAUCGAGGACACCCUUGCAUGGAACCUCAAUAUCAUCACUUGUGUUGUUAGUUAUUGUAAUUCUAACAUAUUUGAGAAGCAUUUUAUCAAACUUAAAAGAUAUUUCGUCAGUUUAUCUUAAUUGAAUUGUAAUUGGAAUCUCCAUAGCAUCCGUUUCAUGCAAAAUUGGAAGAUUUGAAUGGCUUGUGAGAACUGCAACAAGGAUGGAGAAAAGGGAAGCCAAAUGGACGAAGAAGCCAAAGCGGAAGGCAUUAGAUUUCGUGGACUGUGAAAUUGCUCAGAAGAUGUCCAAUUAAACCAUGGGCCAUGUUAAUCAAGGAAUGGAAAAGUGAUAAGCUUGAAAUGCCAUUCACAGAUUGCAUCUUUUACUUGCAAGUGAAUAGUAUAUCUUGGACUUGUACCUAUUAUCUCACUUGUCUGCAAUAGUAAACAGGGGUAUUAGAGAUUCAAUGUUAUUUUACCGGAAAAUGUUCAUAAAUGGUCAUUUUCUUCAUUAUGGAUUUUUCAAAUCGUAUACUAGACGGAAAUGAUCGGAGCCACGUUUUUCUAUGAAAUGAUAGUUGCCGCCAUAAACUUGACCGAUAUGUCUUUCGAGAAAAGUGAUGAAGGCUUCCACAUCAUUUACAUGUAGAAAAAUCCUACUCCAUGCUAGACAUGAUGUUGCAAGUAAAAACAAUUGAUAAAGUUUAACUUUCUAGCACUAAUUUGUCAUUGCCCAUCUAGAAUGGAUGGUUUGAAAACUCCUCCACCGUUCCCUAUGCGUUCAGCCAAGGGAGAAAUUCUAUGGCACUAAGAAUUUUUCACACCCAAAUAAACCCCACCAAAGACUUUGACCCUGGUAACCACGUUGCAAGAAGACUUUGACUUCUUGGCGAUUAUAAUUAAGUGCAUCGCUAUCUUAGAGGCAUUGUGCUCGACCAAAAAAAUGAUAUUUUACCAGUUCCUCUGUUUUCUCUUUUGUCUUUCUGGGCAAUUGUUAUUAAACCUUCCUUCCUCCACAGCACAAUUAUGUCGUCCGGUCCAAAGUGAUGCCUUGCUUCAGUUCAACGAUUCCCUCACAGUUGAAACUGAUACAGACUUAGAUUGUGAUUCGAAGAUGACUACAUGGAAGAACGGCUUGGAUUGCUGCUCAUGGGAUGGUGUCACCUGUGACAAUAUAACAGGUAACAUUAUCGGCCUCGAUCUUUCAUAUAGCUGUCUGCAGGGGACCCUCCGUUCUAACAGUUCGCUCUUCGCACUUCGCCAUCUUCAGAGCCUCAACCUCGCUUUUAACAAUUUCCAUAACUCACCCAUUUUGCCCGAACUAAGUGUGUUUGCUGAACUGAGGCACCUCAAUCUCUCUUAUUCCAAUUUUUUGGGUUUAGUUCCUGUUGAAAUUUCUUUCCUUUCUAAACUUGUUUUACUUGAUCUCUCUUGGAACUAUAAGGAUCAUCGUACUUAUGUGGAACAAAGUCUUAAGAUUGAAAAUACUGCUUUCAAAAUCCUUGCUCAGAAUUUGACAGAGUUGAGGGAACUUAACCUCGAUUUCAUGGACAUGUCUACUGUUUCGCUCAAUUCUUUCGUGAAUUUAUCAUCCUCCAUGACGUUUUUCAGUGCGGUUGGGUGCAACUUACAGGGGGAACUUCCGCCCAACAUUUUUAGCUUGCCUAACCUCCUUGAUCUCAAUUUGGAAUACAAUGAUUUAACGGUUUCUUUUCCGAAGUCUAAUUGGAGCAAGUCUCUUGAAUCCUUAACCCUCUCGUAUACAAGCAUUUCGAGCAAAAUACCCAAUUCAAUCGGUGAAUUCAAGAAUUUAAAAACUCUGCAUCUUAGCAAUUGCACAUUGACAGGAUCGAUUCCCUCAUGGCUUGUGAACUUAACAAAAUUAACCACUUUGGACCUUUCACGCAAUGAAUUAACUGGUCAUAUCCCGUCAUUUGUUGUAAAGCUUGAACAACUCAUGGAUGUAGACCUUUCUUUCAACAACUUCACCGGUGUUUUAGACUUGGGAGUCUUUUCGACACUGAAAAAUCUGCUAGCCCUUCGUCUUACAGUUGAGCUAAAUCUAAUGUACAACAGUAUGAAUCACACAUUUCCGAAGCUUGAGACUUUGGGCUUGCCUUCCUGCAACUUGACCGAGUUCCCUCCUUUUCUGAACUCUUUAAAAGUGCUAAGAGAAUUAGAUCUCUCCGAAAACAAGAUUGGCGGUCAGAUACCGAGAUGGUUUUGGGAUGUAGGGAAAGGUACCCUACAGUCUCUUGAUAUUUCUAGUAACCUUAUUGAGGGAGGCAUACAACAAUUUCCUUGGAAAGAGUUGAUCGAUGUAGACCUUAGCGACAACUUAUUCCAAGGCCCACUUCCAAUUCCACCACUCCCUAUAGUUUACUUUAGGGCCACUGACAAUCGCUUCAGUGGAGAGAUUCCCUCUUCCAUUUGCAAAGUAAGCUCCCUUAAAUCUCUAAGGUUGGCUCGUAACAAUCUCUCGGGCUCUAUUCCACAAUGUUUGGGAAAUUUAGCCAACCUCUCAAGUCUAGACUUGAGUGCCAAUAAGUUUGAAGGGACAUUUCCGCGGUCUUUAGAUAGUUGUGCAUCAUUGGCCGUGCUAAACGUUAGUCACAACAGAAUCAACGAUACUUUUCCGAAGUGGUUGCUAGAAGCCCCCUCAUUACAGGUCAUCGCUCUGCAGUUCAAUGAAUUCCAUGGCCAAAUCGAUCCUCCAACUAUUCCAUUUCAUCCCUCCAUGCUCUCUAGUUUUUACAUAUCAAACAAUAAUCUAGGGGGUCAAUGGCCUGAAGAAUAUUUUCUCCAUAGGUUGAAUAUGAGGAUGAUUGAUCUGUCCAACAACAGAUUCGAAGGUCCUCUUCCAAUUCCACCACCCACCGCUCUCUUCUAUUUCAUUGCAAACAACAAGAUUGGUGGAAAUGUUUCUCCUUUGAUAUGCAAUGCCAGUGAGCUCAUGGUCCUUGACUUGUCCAAUAAUAGUUUGAUGGGCACCUUGCCAGAGUGCUUGAUGAGCUUUAGCAAAAAUCUCUCGGCGCUCAACCUCCGAAUCAACAAGAUUCAAGGUAUGAUCCCUAGAAAAUUUGCUAAUGACAGCAAACUAAGGACUAUCGACUUUAGUCAGAAUCGAUUUGAAGGGACAUUGCCACGGUCCUUGUUACAUUGUGAAAAUUUGGAAGUUUUGGAUCUCGGCAACAAUAGAAUGAAGGAUACGUUCCCCGAUUGGUUGGGAACCCUUCCCAAGCUACAGGUUCUUGUUUUGAGGUCCAACAUGUUCCAUGGCUUUGUGAGCAGUCCUAGAGAAGCUCGCUCAUUUUCUGAAUUGCGCAUCUCGACCUGUCCAACAACAAUUUGAGUGGUCCUUUACCCAUUAGUUAUAUUAUGAAGCUUACUGCCAUGAUGUAUCAGGAUAAAAGACAAGGCAAGCUGCAGUAUAUGGGAGAUGGUAAUUAUCAAGAUUCAGUCAUGGUGACCAUGAAAGGACUGGAGAUACGGUUGGUGAAAAUUCUAACUGUUUUCACAAGUAUCGACUUAUCGAGCAACCAUUUUGGUGGGGAGCUUCCCGUGUAUAUUGGAAACCUAAAGUCGCUCAAAGGGCUAAACUUUUCCCACAACAAUCUCACGGGCUAUAUCCCUCUAUCUAUUGGCAAUUUGACUGAACUCGAAUGGCUAGACCUCUCUUCAAACAAGUUCAUUGGAAGCAUUCCUCAAGAACUAGCGGAUUUGACGUCUCUUGCAUUCUUGAACCUCUCAGAGAAUCAACUCAUCGGACCUAUUCCUCGAGGAAGGCAAUUCAACACAUUCAAGAGCGACUCGUUUGCCAUGAAUCCUAGACUAUGCGGAUUUCCAUUGCCGGAGACAUGCACAAACAAUCCACGAGAAAUUCCACUUGUAACCAUUCUUCAAGAAAAUGAUACAGGGCACGGAAGCUGGUUUGAGUGGAGAGCCAUAUUGAUGGGUUAUGGGUGUGGAACCGUAGGUGGAGUCUCUCUAGGAUACAUUGUUCUUGGAUCCAAAAAAUUUGAAUGGCUCGUGGGGUUGCUUGAAAGGAAAGGAGCUAAUAUGAGAAAGAAGUGGAGGAGGAAUGCUCGUAGGUCUUAUCAAAUAUGAGAAUCUCGACUGUCCAUUCUUUGCAUUGUAAUAUGAUAGAGUAAAUCUGUUGAGGUGCCUUGAGACCGAUUACGUGCGUAUUAUUUUGGCCUUUUUAUCAUUUAAGUGUAGUCUCAUCCAAGUAAACAAACUAAGAUCUAAUUUAUGCCUGCUUCAUGUGGGAACUUAUUUCUUUCCUUUUUUCAAGGGAUAAUAUCGAAACCAUAAGAAAAGCGAGACAUGAUUCGCUUUUGGUUUAAUAUAUAGGCCAGUGUUGAGGUACACACGACUAGUGUGCGUGAUCUCCGGUGUCUUUAGGAAUUGCGUGAUUAUUUAAUAUAGGCUACUUCUUUUUACUUUUGUAGAGAAAAGAAUAGGUUUUUUCAGGAAUUGAGUGAUUACUUAAUUAAGUUGAUAUGUGAUGAAUAGUUAUUAUAGAUGUGUGAAUUGAUUGGUCACUUGAUGAAAAGAAAGUAGUAGGUAGUAGUCGAAACCUAAUUUUGCUGGUUUGGCGAACCAUCUGUACUUGAAAAAAGAAAAGAAAAGAAGAGAAAGAAUUGAAUCAGGCCGGUUUGACCUGGCCCUCUUGGGCCCAGCCUGCGACCCUGCACCUACUCGGCCUGUCUCUUCUAUAGUGCGCGUCCGACCGGGUCUCUCCUCCCUUUCUUCUCUCUUUCUCGCCCCGCUCCAUCGGUCUUCCACCUCACGACACACAGCCAUCGCCGCUCUUCGCUUGCUCGUCAUCCCACUUCUCCCGCAAUCGCACCAAGGCUUCUAUUUGCCCCUGUUUUCUUGACCAGAGUACUCUAAAGAGCUCGUCUCCUAUCCAUCCACCUUCACCGGUUACGACCUUCGACGUAACAUAGAACUCGCUCCCUUCUGCUCGGAUUCAUGGCUUGAGGUCCUGAAGCGACUAGGUAUUGCUCGAGAUCCAUUCGUUGGCCCGUGACUCUGAUCCUUAAUGACAAUCGGUGCUUCCGUCGUCGAUCCAGUUGCUAGUCGCAGCUUCGUUUCGGUCCUUUAACAAUGCAACAGUCUUACCCUGUUAUACUUUUUUUCUUUUUUCUUUUUCUGAUGAAGGAGAAUAGCCGAAAUAGCAUGUUUCGGAUUAGGAUCGAAUCAACUUUUUCCGAGUCUAACGAUUAGAUGUAUCCCGGACUGUUUUUGGGUGGAUGUGAUCCGAGUUCGUUGAUGCUCAAUUUUAUUUUCCCGAAGGGAAAACGCGCACACGCGUUUAGGGAAGAGAGGAGAAUUCGCUCUAGAGGGCUCUCGUUCUCUCCUGCUCGCAGCUCUCAUUUGACUUGCGGCCACCGGCAUGUCUUCCCUCAGCACGUCCGUUCGUAAUCGGUCGUUUGGUCAUCGCUCCUCCUGCUCGUGCCGUCACUUCUGGCUCACAGCGACGCAGGGCGAGAAUUCCUUUCUCGGCUCUCAAUUCUCCUCCUGCAAUAUAGUUGUCGGCCACCGCAACUUCUUCCUCUGGUUUGAGGUCGCCACUCAGUUCAUCACCGGAAGCUUACCUGUAGCUCACUAGCGCUCGCCUCCACUCUAAAUCACCUCUCUUCUGCUCCGCUUCCAUGUCAGUUGCCGUACUUUGUCCAAUCACAGACUUCGCCUCGUCGUAAGGGAUUGACACAACCUUUCCGAGCUUCUAGUCACGAAACUGUCUCUUUGGUUUCUGGUUUUCUCUCAUUCGGAUGAAGUUUGGUCCAAGUCUUCAGAAAACGAAGCCGAGCGGAAUCUCUCUCUCUCUCUGCUGUCCUCCCUCCGCUCUCCACGCGAGGCUUAGCUUGGAGCCAUAUCAUUUCCUUCGAGAUUGUACACGAUUUCAAGGUUCAAGUGAGGGUGCUGAGUUCACUGAUUCUUUUGGCUUGAUGGGAGAGUUGAGAUGAAACGGCGAUUUUGAGUGACGCACGUUCUGUUUGAUUGGGGUAUUAGAGAUUCAAGGUUAUUUUAUCGGAAAAAUGUUCAUAAAUGAUUGUUUUCUUCAUUACGAAUUAUUCAAUUUCAUCUACCAGACGGUAGUAACCAGAGCCACACGUUUUUAUGAAAUGAGAACUGCACCAUAAACUUGACUAACUCAUCAUUAAAAAAAAGUGGCGAAGGCUUCCGCAUCGUGUACAUGUAGAAAAAUACUAUUUCAUUCUAGAUAUGAUAUUUCAAAUUAAAACAAUUAAUAAAGUUCAACAUUCUAGCACUAAUUUGUCAAUGCCCACCUAGAAUGGAUGCCCUGAAAACUCUUCCACCGUCCUUUUUGCGCUUAGCCAAGGAAGAAAUUAUGUGGCACUAAGAAUUUUCCACACCCAAGUGAACCCCACUGAAGACUUUGACCCCAACAAUGACAUUUGAUGAAGACUUUGACUUCUUAACGGUUCUAAUUAAGUGCACUGCUAUCUUAGAGGCGUUGUGCUCGACCAAAAAACAUGGAAUUCUACAAGUCCCUAUAUUUUCUAUAUAAUGAAAAUUGCCAUCAUAUUCACACAAUGUUAUGAAUUAUUCAAAGUUGUAUACCAAACAGUGAUUACCAGAAUCACGCAUAUCUAUGAAAUGAAAGUUGCCACCAAAAACUUGACCAAUAUGCCUUUCAAGAAAAGCGGAGAAGGCUUCCAUAUCUUUGAUAUGUAGAAAAAUCCUAUUCCAUGCUUGAUAUGAUAUUGCAAGUAAAAACAAUUAAUAAGUUCAAUUUUCUAGCACUAAUUUGAUAAUGCCCAUCUAGAAUGGAUGCUUUCAAAACUCCUCCACCGUCCUUUAUGCAUUCAGCCAAGGAAGAGUUGUAUGUACAUGUUAAUAUGCACACGUUUUGAGGGUUUCGAAUGUUUCGGAUUUAAAAGCAAAAAACGAAAUUUGCAGAAAUCGCAUAUUCAAAUUAAGUAGAAAACAAAUAAUGAAUAGUAGAUCUUGGACUUGUACCUAUCAUCUCACUUGUCUACAUAAUAAACAAGGGUAUUAGAGAUUCAAGGUUAUUUUACCGGAAAAUGUUCAUAAAUGAUUGUUUUAUUCAUUACGGAUUAUUCAAUUUCAUCUACCAGACGAUAGUAACCAAUGCCACGCAUUUCUAUGAAAUGAGAAUUGCCAGCAUAGACUUGACUAACUCGUCAUUAAAAAAAAAAAAAGUGGAGAAGGCUUCCACAUCGUGUAUAUGUAGAAAAAUCCUAUUCCAUGCUAGAUAUGAUAUUCCAAAUUAAAAAAAUUAAUAAAGUUCAACAUUCUAGCAUUAAUUUGUCAAUGCCCAUCUAGAAUUGAUGCCCUGAAAACUCUUCCACUGUCCUUUUAGCAUUUAGCCAAGGAAGAAAUUCUGUGGCAAUAAGAAUUUUCCACAUCCAAGUAAACCCCACCAAAGACUUUGACCCCAAUAACGACAUUUGAUGAAGACUUUGACUUCUUAACGAUUCUAAUUAUGUGCACUGCUAUCUUAGAGGCGUUGUGCUCGACCAAAAAAACAUGGAAUUCUACAAGUCCCUCUAUUUUCUAUUUAAUAAUAAUUGCCACCAUAGUCAUGCAAUAUUAUGAAUUAUUCAAAGUUGUAUACCGAACGGUGAUUACCAGAGUCACGCAUAUCUAUAAAAUUAAAAUUGCCAUCAUAAACUUGAUCAAUAUGCCUUUCAAGAAAAGCGGAGAAGGCUUCCAUAUCUUUGAUAUGUAGAAAAAUCAUAUUACAUGCUUGAUAUGAUAUUCCAAGUAAAAAUAGUUAAUAAAGUUAAACUUUUUAGCACUAAUUUGACAACGCCCAUCUAGAAUGGAUACUCUAAAAACUCCUCCACCGUCCUUUAUGCGUUUAGCCAAGGAAGAGUUGUAUGUACAUGUUAAUAUGCACAUGUUUUGAGGGUUUCAAAUGUUUUGGAUUUAAAAGGAAAAAACGAAAUUUGCAGAAAUCGCAAGAUUCAUAUUAAUUUAAAAACAAAUAAUGAAUAGUAGAUCUUUGACUUGUACCUAUCAUCUCACUUGUCUAAAAUAGUAAAUAAGGGUAUUAGAGAUUCAAGGUUAUUUUACUGGAAAAUGUUCAUAAAUGAUUAUUUUCUUCAUUACGAAUUAUUCAAUUUCGUCUAUCAAACGGUAGUAACCAGAGCCACGCAUUUCUAUGAAAUGAGAAUUGUCGCCAUAGACUUGACUAACUCGUCAUUCAAAAAAAGUGGAGAAGGCUUAUGAUAUUCCAAAUUAAAACAAUUAAUAAAGUUCAACAUUCUAACAUUAAUUUGUCAAUGCCCAUCUAGAAUUGAUGCCCUGAAAACUCUUCCACUGUCCUUUUAGCAUUUAGCCAAGGAAGAAAUUAUGUGGCAAUAAGAAUUUUCCACAUCCAAGUAAACCCCACCAAAGACUUUGACCCCAAUAACGACAUUUGAUGAAGACUUUGACUUCUUAACGAUUCUAAUUAUGUGCACUGCUAUCUUAGAGGCGUUGUGCUCUACCAAAAAACAUGGAAUUCUACAAGUCCCUGUAUUUUCCAUAUAAUGACAAUUGCCAUCAUAGUCACACAACGUUAUGAAUUAUUCAAAAUUGUAUGCCGAACGGUGAUUACCAGAGUCAUGCAUAUCUAUGAAAUGAAAGUUGCCACCAUAAACUUGACCAAUAUGCCUUUCAAGAAAAGCGAAGAAGGCUUCCAUAUCUUGGAUAUGUAGAAAAAUCAUAUUGCAUGCUUAAUAUGAUAUUGCAAAUAAAAAAAAUUAAUAAAAUUCAACUUUCUAGCACUAAUUUGAUAAUGCCCAUCUAGAAUGGAUGCUUUGAAAACUCCUCCAACGUCCUUCAUGCGUUUGGCCAAGGAAGAGUUGUAUGUGCAUGUUAAUAUGCACACGUUAUGAGGGUUUCGAAUGUUUGGGAUUUAAAAGGAAAAAAACGAAAUGUGUAGAAAUUGCAAGAUCAAAUUAAGUAGAGAACAAAUGAUGAAUAGUAGAUUUUGGACUUGUACCUACAAUAGUAAAUAGGGGUAUUAGAGAUUCAAGGUUAUUUUACUAGAAAAUGUUCAUAAAUGAUUGUUUUCUUCAUUACGAGUUAUUCUAUUUCGUCUACUAGACAGUAGUAACCAGAGCCACAUGUUUCUAUGAAAUAAGAAUUGCCACCAUAGACUUGACUAACUCGUCAUUCAAAAAAAAGUGGAGAAAACUUCCGCAUCAUGUAUAUGUAGAAAAAUCCUAUUUCAUGCUAGAUAUGAUAUUCCAAGUAAAAACAAUUAAUACAUUCUAGUACUAAUUUGUCAAUACCCAUUUAAAAUGGAUGCCUUGAAAACUCUUCCACCACCCAUUUUGCAUUUAGUCAAGGAAGAAAUUCCAUGGCACUAAGAAUUUUCCACACCCAAAUAAAUCCCACCAAAGACUUUGACCCCAACAACAUUUGAUGAAGACUUUGACUUCUUAACGAUUCUAAUUAAGUGCACCGCUAUCUUAGAGGCGUUGUGCUCGACCAAAAAAUAUGAAAUUCUACAAGUCCCAGUAUUUUCUAUAUAAUGAAAAUUGCCAUCAUAGUCCGGUAAUGUUAUGAAUUAUUCAAAGUUGUAUACUUAAUGGUGAUUACAAGAGUUACGCAUAUCUAUGAAAUAAAAAUUGCCACCAUAAAAUUGACCAAUAUGCCUUUCAAGAAAAGUGGAGAAGGCUUCCAUAUCUUGGAUAUGUAGAAAAAUCCUAUUUCAUCCUUGAUAUGAUAUUGAAAGUAAAAACAAUUAAUAAAGUUCAACUUUCUAGCACUAAUUUGACAAUGCCCAUCUAGAAUUGAUGCUCUAAAAACUCCUCCACCGUCCUUUAUGCAUUCAACCAAGGAAGAAUUGUAUGUACUUGUUAAAAUGCACACGUUAUGAGGGUUUCGAAUGUUUCGGAUUUAUAAGGAAAAAAGCGAAAAUGUGCAAAAAUCGCAAGAUUCAAAUUAAGUAGAAAACAAAUAAUGAAUGUCAAUCUUAUAGGCCUAAUUGAUCUAAUUAUGGGAACAAAACCGAGAGAGGGUGGGUUCUCUUCUUUGUUGCACGAAGCCAUGGCGAGGGCAUCCUUUGUGAGUAACUGUUCAUAGGUACCCAUCGAGUUCUCCAAUAUUUUUAGUGGAUAGAAUUCAAGUCUAAAGAUAUUAACUUCCAGUUUAAAAUUUCAUACUUGUUUCUUGUGGGAACUAUAAAACCACGAAAAAGCAAAUCUCGCUUUUUAAAACCACGAAAAAGCAAAUCUCGCUUUUGGUUUAAUAUAAAGGCCAAUGUCGAGGCACACACGACGUAUGUGUGUGAUCGUCGGUGUCUUUGGAAAUUGAGUGAUUAUUUAAUAUAGGCUACUUCUUUUCACCUUCAUAGAGAAAAGACCCGUCGUUUUAGGAAUUGAGUGAUUAUUUAAUUGAGCUGAUAUGUGACAAAUAGUUAUUAUAAGCGUAUGAAUUAAGUGGUCCCUUGAUGAAGAUAAAAUAGUGGGUAAUUGUUGAAACCUAAUUUUGCUGGUCUGGCGAACCAUAUCUCCUUGUUAAAAAAGGAAAAAGAAAAGUAAAGAAAAAUUGAAUCCGGCUGGUUUGCGGCCGUUGGUCUUCUUCCUCACAACGCGCGGCCGUCGCCGCUCUUCACUGCUGGUCACCCUACUCCUCCCGCAAUCGCACCAAAGCUUCUGUUCGCCCUUGUUCUCUUGACCUGAGUACUCUGAAGGGCUCUGCUCCUACCCAUCCCUCUUUCACCAGUUCCGACCUUUGACGUAACACAGAACUCGCCCGUUUUGCUCGAGAUCUGUUCCUUGGCCGCGACUUCGAUCCUUAACGAUGAUCGAAGCUUCCUUCAUUGAUCUAGUUGCUAGUUAGGGCUUCGUUUCGGUCCAUUAACAAUGCAACCCUCUUAUCCUGUUGUGCUUUUUUCUGGUGAGGGAGAAGAGCUGAGAUAGCAUGUUUCAGAUUAGGAUCGAAUCCAACUUUUCCGAGUCUAUGUUAACGAUUAGACAUAUUGCGGGCUGUUUCUGUGUCGAUGUAAUUGUAGUCCGAGUUCGUAGAUGCUCAGUUUUAUUUUUCAUACUACGCACGAAACUAGUUCGAUAAAAUGUGUCUGAGAUGUGGCUGUGAAAUGCUUUUUACCGUUGUUCAAUCUGAAGACGUGUUUUAAUACGAUUCACAUGACAUAAGUUCAUAUGUUAGCUGUUAAGUUUGGCUUUGACCCGUAAUGAGAAUACCGAGAGUUUUACUGACUUCAUAUUCUCUUUAAUUGAUGCAUGGUGUCAUUGAUGAUGGCCUUCUCAUGGUGAUUAUUGACAAGAAAUUGGAUCCAAGAAAUUAAUUGUGUUUGACGUCUCUUCCAUCACGACAAGCGUCCCAUUUUGCAAAAAAGGUAAGAGAAUCAAAAUCUUUUUGUUUGUUUUAUUUCGGUGUGUAUCGUGUUAAGUAAAGAUUCCAAUAUGAACGGGCGAGGGGUGCAGGGGGCCCCACCCCCAACGAUAAGUAUAUUCCCCUUACAAAUUGGGUGGAGGAGAAAAUGGUGGGGCAUGGGGCCAGGAUUCAUGUGGGUUUAGUAUUUUAGGUUAAUUGUCGAAAGAGGUGAUCAUCAAGUGUCCUAUAUAGUUAUUUUUUUCUUUUGCUUAGAUUGGUUAAAGAGUUAUUCACAUUAUUUUGCUGGGUUACUUUUUCUUCCUAAUUAUUUCUUGAAAUUAUAAAUGGAUAUAUGCAAACAAGACUUGAUCGAUAACUCGUUUGACAAAUUAACUAAGGCCAUUUAUUGCUAGGGUACAAAUUUACGUUUAGUUUUGGGCGGCACUUUUUACACUUCUCUUUUGACUUAAGACACUUUAUUUUUUCUUUUCUUUUUUCGAUUUUUUUUUUUUACCAUAUUAUCCCUUAUGGAUUGUCUUGACCAUAUUAUCUCUUAUGGGAUCCACCACUUCUCGUAAAAUCCUAUAAAAGCGAUUUUUUAUAUUAUUAUUUGGGUCACGCUUUUCAUUUUGUUUUUUCAUUUUUUCCCCUUAGGCUUUUUAUUUUGCAAGUCAUCUCUAUGUUAUCUUGCAUCAUUAUUUCCAACAAGUCAAUUAAUUAGAAGUAACACGGCAACCCGAAACUGAUGAUAAAGAACUUAUGGAAACAUAGUAAGAAACUAAACCUAGAAGGAGUAGCAAUCUAUAGGAUGCAAGUAUGCUUCCGACCACAAAGCAACUGCGCAAUUAAUUCACAAACACUAUUUUGAUGCAUGCUACGCUCUAAUAAUAAGAUUGAAACCCAUGAUCAAGCAUUUAUAUGGCUCAAAACUCUAAUUCACUUUUAAGAAAAGAUUUCAAGAAACACUCAAUAGCAACCGUAAAGAUCAUGAUUCGAGACCAAAAAAAACUAAAAAGGGGAAGAAAAAGGGUUUUUCACUAGAACCAUACUUUUGGAAGCGAAUGAGGAGGGGGCGAUUGUUAAAAUAAAUAGCUAUUUUGAGAAUUGCAAAUGCUGGAGAGAUUUGUGGGAGAAGAAGAAGAAUAAGAAGUGGGAAGUGUAGAAAGAAGAUAAUGGCUUGCAAAAGAGAUGAUUUGCAAAAGUGGAGAAUAAAUUGAGAAGUCAAAGACAUGGAAAGAAAGAAGAAGAAAGAAAGUGGGACUCCCAAUAAAAAAAGAAAAAGAAACAAUGACCUAAUAUUUAAAAAAAAAAAAUCACUUUUAUGCAUGAGAACUAAUGGGCUUCACAACGGAUAAUAUGAUAAAAAUAAAAUAAAAUAAGUGUCUAAGCUAAAAGAGGAGCAAAAAAAAAAAAAAUGCAAUCCUCAGUUUUGCAUGCACUAAAUUACAAAAGCAUAAUAACUUUCAUUAGUAAUUCGGGGUAAUUAUCCACAAAGUCACAAAUUUAUUACAGGACAGUAAUUCGAUUAUAAAUUUUUUAAUUAUGUCAAUUUAGUCAUAAUUUUUUUUUUCAUUUUAUUCUACCUUUUGAAGUAUUGCCAAUUUAGUCCGAAAAGUUUAAAAGUGGUGGUUGAAUGGAGGGACAUGGGUUAGAAAAUAUUGUUGGCAAGAAAAUUCGGUAUCGCGUCGAGGUGAGCACAUCACUUUUAAAACUCCAGCGGGAUGGAUGUAGUCGCGAGUGUUCGCGCUUGCCUUGACUGGCCGAACACUGUGCGAGCAGAUAAGAGAGUUUAGGCACCGACUCGUCCGCUUCCUCGCAGCUUGUGGACGACCCCGACGUAUUUGCUAGCUACAGAGAAGGCGCAGAACUGCGAAGAUCAGCGCGAAGCAUUUGGCCGUGCCCGAAGACGACUUGGAUGGCGAAGUUUGCAGCUCGGGUGUUUCCUCUCCCCUAGCUCAAUUGAGACCCUCAAAAACAUGGUCACGGGCAAUAAAGAUCUCAGAAAUUUGAUAGACCAGCAGAAUGCAAAUCCUUCUUGAUGUCAAUAAAAAAACCUACAUGUACUUUAAAUAUAAAAAAUUAUAACUUUCGUGGGAAAUUCUAAUAUCAGGAGUUAUAUUAACAAUUUAAAUUUUAAAGUACUAUUUGUAAAUAUGGAUUACCAUUUAUAUCAGAUUAUAUAAAUAUAUAUACUGUUUUAAAUUCAACUAUAAUCCACCAUACGUAAUUCUAAUGAUAGUUACGAUAUACUUUUCUAAUUUAAUAUUUGUGAAAUGUGAAAACCUACGGAUGAUAUUGCAUCGAUUAACAUUGUUAAAUUAAUGAAAAUCUCUCUCUAUGUCUCCUUUAUAUAUAUCCCUCUGUAAUUUAUAAAAUUAAUUUGAAAGAACAAAUUCAACGAAAUACUUUGGAUGAUCAUUAAAAUAAUCCAAAUAUAAUAAUUUUUUUGAAGUUUCGUUUGCAUACAACUGUUAUAAUAUCGAAACAUUGAUUUGGAAGAAGAAAUAAAACAAUUUUUAGCAAAACACGGUCCGGGCAGUUGGUAAUUAAAAAAUCAUCUAUAUUUUCCAAGCAACUUAAAUACGAAAUAACAUUUGCUAAGAAGUAAAAUAUAAAUAUUAAUACAAGUCAUUUUGCUUUCUUUAUUUUGCAGGUCGGGUCGGAUCGAGGGAUUGAACACGAUUUGGUUCGUUUCGAGUAUUGACAUUUCUCGCGGUCAAUUUGGGUCGGGUCGGAUCUUCAAUGUCGGGCCGCCCAUCUGGGGCUCCUCCACGUGCUUCCGUGUCUUUCAUAGUCUCACUCAGUUUCUCCGCGCUCCUCUACCCCCCUUCGCAUCUCCUUGUCUGAAGACGUCGUUGGUUGGAUUUCGCAGCUCGGUCGUGCAUUCGCCGGCGUGAUACUUCCUGUCAAAAGGGUCUGUCACUGGUGCUCUCUUCUCUUCGAGUGGAUGUGCAAUUGUGCAUUGUGAGGGUCAGAGUUACACCCACUUGUUCUGCAUUUUCUGAUUGACUCCAGGGAAAAUUCUGGACAAAUUUGUGUUCUUUCGGUUCCGUUUCGCGUGAUAUCGAUUCGAUCGUGUUUCCUUCUUUGUUGGCCGCUUAAAAGCUGUGUCUUACGGCUUUCCGGGAUGCUUGGUUGUGGUCUUUCGAAAAUUGAACGCUGAGAGUUUGAUGGAAGUUGUGAAAGAGGAGACAAAUGUAGAAGAGAACUAUCUUUGCUUCUUUGACACAUGGUAUGCCGUUGAAACGUGGAAUGGAGAAAAACCACUCGAAAUUGUGUUGUGUUAGGACGGUUUUCUGUCGUGACACGAGAUGGCUUUGUUCAAGUGUGGUUUUCUCGAUACAUCACAUACAUCAGUCGUUUGACUGCUUCAUGAGAUACUUGAUCAGCAGUCAGGGUCAAUAUUAUAUUUCUCGGCUGUUAAUGCUUUUCGUUGUUCUAGUGCAAUGGUGUGGGAACUAAGGGUGUGUUUGUUUUGCGGAAAAUAUUUUUCAAAAGAUGAUUGGUUAUAUUACUUAGAAAAAUUAGUCAAGGAAAAAUGUUUGCACUAUUGACCACAAUUUAUGACUAACUAUUUUCGUAGAUGAUGGAAAUAUUUCUCAUUUAAUCUUGAGCUUUCCGUGAAAUAAACGCACCCUAAGUUACUUAUUUACAAAGUUCUUGUUUCCAGUAUAGUUCUAUUACUGUCUACUAUACUGCAAGCUUAAGGCUUGUGGUUUAUACUUUCUUCUUUUGUAAUGAAAAAGCUGACUUUUACAUAACCAAAACAACAUACUGGGCCUUGACAUAAAGAGGGAUGGAAAAGAUGAACAUUCUAAUUUUCUGAUUAUUUUCCCUUUUAUCUGACUUUGGUGCUUUUGUUGUAGCAAUUUGAAGUUCGUUAUAUUGAUUCCCCAACUCAGAGAUGGUUAUCCCACCGCCAGCUAAGCCACUGAGAAUAAUAAACUUUCUCAAGCCUUAUGUUCUGAAGAUGCACUUCACUAACAAGUUUGUAAGUGCUCAAGUCAUCCAUUCCCCAACUGCUACUGUGGCGUCUUCGGCGAGCUCGCAGGAGAAGGCUUUGACACCAAGCAUGGACUCGACUCGAGAUGUGGCUGCAGCUGCGAAGAUAGGAAAGAUACUGGGGGAGAGGCUGCUGCUCAAGGGAAGCCCUGCUGUCGCCAUCCACUUGAAAAGAGAACAAAAGUAUCAUGGCAAAGUCAAGGCGGUUAUCGAUUCUGUGAGAGAAGCAGGUGUGAAGUUGCUUUGAAAACUCCUGAACUUAUUGGUUGUAUUUGUUUUAAGACUAGUGACCUCUGUUUGAAGUGAUCUUCACUCGAGAAAGAUUGAAAGAGAGUGCAUGAACUUUUUAUGUUGGAGGCUGCUUAUAUUGAUUUCUUCUUUGUAAGGAUAUGAUCAUAUUGAAUGUUUGGGCAUGUAUGCAUCUGAGCAUGUGCUUUGGCGUGUUUGGAUAGAUUAUCAGGGUGAGAAUGAUUGAAAAUGAUGAACCCGCCGCUCAACUCUUAAAUACUGAAGUCGUUGCAUCCAUACAAGUUGGUUCAGAGUCCAAUAUAGAUCAUUGAUUGCUCACAUUCGGCGCUUUCGGUUUCUACCGGAGCCUUACUGAUAUUGAAAGAAAACAGCUGCUUGAGACGCUCGAUUUCCAAAGAUCUUGCACUCUUUGUAGCUCCACAAAAUGUUCAAUUUAUACUAUUUACCAUAUUAACAUUGUAAGGAUAUGGGGGAGAAGGCAAAGGAAGCUAUAAGCAUUAGUUAAAGGAUGAUCAGGUUGAUGAACUGUGACUCAAUCAUGAAGUAGCUCUAUCCGUCUGUCACAUAGAGAUGGUGACUUGACACUUGCCUAUGAAGCCAGAAGGACUCGGGGUUUAAGCUUUGUUAAUCAAGCAUACAUGAAAAUCCUAUGCUGGCCUUAAUUUCAGCCAAAGAGACGAAGUUUAAGACAAAUUGAGUUGACUUUAUUAGCCGGAAAAAGUUGUUAUAGCAAUAUAGCAAUCAUAAUCACGUUCAGGAAACUGUGGUGCACUGGAUGUUCCUGAACUAGCGUGCUUCCCAAGAGAUUCACCGCCUAUUGUGGUAGUGCAUGGUAUAAUUGCAAAGGAAGAGGCAAUAAAACUGAAAUUCUUUGUAAAUACCCGUAAGGCUCCAAAGGAGCUAGCUAUUCAUCCUGGAAAAAUUGCGCAGACAAUUGCUUCAAUCCUUUCUAUUUAGCUACUAGAAUAUAGGUUCAGUCUCAAAAGCUGCAGUGAAAGACAUGCGGUUUGUGUCUUUCUCAAGCAGCACGAUGUGGGGUCCCACGUGGAAGGCGCUGACAAAAUGGAGCCACGAAGCUGCAAAUGUGUAUGUUUUCGCCAAAACAUUUUUGGGAAUUGGAAUUUGGAAUAAUAUCGACCCCUGAUAAGCAAAGAGCCUAGAUUUGUGCAACUUCAUUCCAAUGGACCAAACCUUACGAGCAACUUCAUCCUUGGAUGGGUCCUGAAACUGAUAGAGAUUUUUCGCUCUCUUUCAACCACUGCAACACUCGGGUCUGCCAUCCUUCGCCAUACUCCGAAUGAAGUUUAUGAGGAAUUUUUCUUUUACAGCAUAUGACGAACGAAUGAAGAUGCAGAAUUGGGAGUAAUCGAGGACACCCUUGCAUGGAACCUCAAUAUCAUCACUUGUGUUGUUAGUUAUUGUAACUGUAACAUAUUUGACAAGCAUUUGAUCAAACUUAAAGAUAUUUUGUCAGUUUAUCUUAAUUGAAUUGUAAUUGGAAUCUUCAUAGCAUCCAUUUCAUCUGAAAUUUGAAGAUUAAAAUGGCUUGCGAGAAUUGCAACCAGGAUGGAGAAAAGGGAAACCAAAUAGAUGAAAAAGCCAAAGUGGAAGACAUUAGAUUUCAUGGACUGUGAAAUUGCUAAGAAGAUGUCCAAUUAAACCAUGGGCUGUGUAGAUCGAGGAAUGGAAAAGUGAUAAGCUUGAAAUGCCAUUUAGAGAUUACAUCUUUUACAUACAAGUGAACAGUAGAUCUUUGACUUGUAUCUAUCAUCUCACUUGCCCGCAAUAGUAAAUAGGCGUAUUAGAGAUUCAAUGUUAUUUUACUGGAAAAUAUUCAUAAAUUGUCGUUUUCUUCAUUAUGGAUUAUUCAAAUUCGUAUACUAGACAGUAAUGAUCGGAGCCACGUUUUUCUAUGAAAUGCUAAUUGCCGCCAUAGACUUGACUGAUAUGUCUUGCAAGAAAAGUGAAGAAUGCUUCAACAUCAUUUAUAUGUAGAAAAAUCCUACUCAUGCUAGACAUGAUGGUGCAAGUAAAAACAAUUAGUAAAGUUCAACUUUCUAGCACUAAUUUGUCAUUGCCCAUCUAGAAUUGAUGUCUUGAAAACUCCUCCACUGUCCUUUAUGCGUUCAGCCAAGGAAGAAAUUCUAUGGCAGUUAGAAUUUUCCACACCAAGUAAACCCCACCACCAAAGACUUUGACCCCAUUAACCACUUUUGAAGAAGACUUUGACUUCUGUAAGAUUAUAAUUAAGUGCAUUGCUGUCUUGAAGGCAUUGUGCUAGACCAAAAGACAUGGAAUUCUAUCGGUCCCUCUGUUUUCUCUUUUGUCUUUCUGGGCAAUUGUUAUUAAGCCUUCCUUUCUCCACAGCGCAAUUAUGUUGUCCGGUCCAAAGUGAUGCCUUACUUCAGUUCAAUGAUUCCCUCACAGUUGAAACUGAUACGGACUCAGAUUGUGAUCCAAAGAUGACUACAUGGAAGAACGGCUUGGAUUGCUGCUCGUGGGACGGUGUCACUUGUGACAAUGUAACGGGUAACAUUAUCGGCCUCGAUCUUUCAUAUAGCUGUCUGCAGGGGACCCUCCGUUCUAACAGUUCACUCUUUGCACUUCGCCAUCUUCAGAGCCUCAACCUUGCUUUUAACAAUUUCCGUACCUCACCCAUUUUGCCUGAACUAAGUGUGUUUGCUGAACUGAGGCACCUCAAUCUCUCUUAUUCCAAUUUUUUAGGUUUAGUUCCUGUUGAAAUUUCUUUCCUUUCUAAACUUGUUUUGCUUGAUCUCUCUUGGAACUAUAAGAACGACGAUUUGCUUUCAGAACAAAGUCUUAAAAUUGAAAAUACUGGUUUCAAAAUCCUUGUUCAGAAUUUGACAGAGUUGAGGAAACUUAACCUCGAUUUCAUAGACAUGUCUGAUGUUCCACUAAGUUAUUUCGUGAAUUUAUCAUCCUCCUUUACAUUUUUUAGUGCGGUUGCAUGCAAGUUACAGGGGGAACUUCCACCCAACAUUUUUAGCUUGCCAAACCUCCUUGAUCUCGAUUUGGAAGACAAUGAUUUCACGGUUUCUUUUCCAAAGUCUAAUUGGAGCAAGUCUCUUGAAUCCUUAACCCUCUCAUUUACAAGCAUCUCGGGCAAAAUACCUGAUUCAAUCGGUGGAUUCAAGAAUUUAAAAACUUUGGAUCUUAGGAACUGCACAUUGAUAGGAUCGAUUCCCUCAUCGCUUAUGAACUUAACAAAAUUAACCAGUCUGGACCUUUCACGCAAUGAAUUAACUGGUCAUAUCCCGUCAUUUGUUGUAAAGCUUGAACAACUCAUGGAUGUAGACCUUUCUUUCAACAACUUCAUCGGUGUUUUAGACUUGGGAGUCUUUUCGACAUUGAAAAAUUUGCAAGUCCUUCGUCUUACAGUUGAGCUAAAUCUAAUGUACAACAGUAUGAAUCACACAUUUCUGAAGCUUGAGACUUUGGGCUUGCCUUCCUGCAACUUGACCGAGUUCCCUCCUUUUCUGAACUCUUUAAAAGUGCUAAGAGAAUUAGAUCUCUCCAAAAACAAGAUUGGCGAUCAGAUACCGAGAUGGUUUUGGGAUGUAGGGAAAGGUACCCUACAGUCUCUUGAUAUUUCUAGUAACCUUAUUGAGGGAGGCAUACAACAAUUUCCUUGGAAAGAGUUGAUCGAUGUUGACCUUAGCGACAACUUAUUCCAGGGCCCACUUCCAAUUCCACCACUACCUAUAGUUUACUUUUGGGCCACCGACAAUCGCUUCAGUGGAGAGAUUCCCUCUUCCAUUUGCAAAGUAAGCUCCCUUAAAUCUCUAAGGUUGGCUCGUAACAAUCUCUCUGGCUCUAUUCCACAAUGUUUGGGAAAUUUAGCCAACCUCUCGAAUCUAGACUUGAGUGCCAAUAAGUUUGAAGGGACAUUACCGCGGUCUUUAGACAGUUGUGCAUCAUUGGCCAUCCUAAAUGUCAGUCACAACAAAAUCAACGAUACUUUUCCGAAGUGGUUGCUAGAAGCCCCCUCAUUACUGUUCAUCGCUCUUCAGUUCAAUGAAUUCCAUGGCCAAAUCGAUCCUCCAACUGUUCCAUUUCAACCCUCCAGGUUUCUUAUUUUUUCCAUAUCUAACAAUGAUUUAGAGGGUCAAUGGCCUAAAGAAUAUUUUCUCCAUUGUUUGAAUCUGUGGACCGUUGAUCUAUCCAACAACAGAUUUGAAGGUCCUCUUCCGAUUCCACCGCCCACCACUCAAAUCUAUUCCAUUGCAAACAAUAAGAUUGGUGGAAAGGUUUCCCCUUUGAUAUGCAAUGCCACUGAGCUCAUAGUCCUUGACUUGUCCAAUAAUAGUUUGGUGGGCACCUUGCCAUCGUGCUUGAUGAGCUUUAGCAAAGAUCUCUCAGUGCUCAACGUCCGAAUCAACAUGAUUCAAGGUGUGAUCCCUAGAAAAUUUGCUGAGGAUAGCAAACUAAGGACUAUUGACUUCAGUCGAAAUCGAUUUGAAGGGACAUUGCCACCAUCCUUUCUACGUUGUGAAAAUUUGGAGGUUUUGAAUCUCGGCAACAAUAGAAUCGAGGAUACGUUCCCCGAUUGGUUGGGAACCCUUCCCAAGCUAUAGGUUCUUGUUUUGAGGUCCAACAUGUUCCAUGGCUUUGUGAGUAAUCCUAGAGAAGCUCACUCAUUUUCCAAAUUGCGCAUUUUCGACCUAUCCAACAACAAUCUGAGUGGUCCCUUACCUGUUAGAUAUAUUAUGAAGCUUACUGCCAUGAUGAAUCAGGAUAAAAGACAGGGCAAGCUGAAGUAUAUGGGAGAUGCUAAUUAUCAUGAUUCAGUCAUGGUGACCAUGAAAGGACUGGAGAUACGGUUGGAAAAAAUUCUAACUGUUUUCACAAGUAUCGACUUAUCAAGCAACCAUUUUGGUGGGGAGCUUCCCUUGGAUAUUGGAAACCUAAAAUCGCUCAAAGGGCUAAACUUUUCCCACAACAAUCUCACCGGCUAUAUCCCUCCGUCUACUGGCAAUUUGAUUGAACUCGAAUGGCUAGACCUCUCUUCAAACAAGUUUACCGGAAGGAUUCCUCAGGAACUAGCAGAUUUGACGUCUCUUGCAUUCUUGAACCUCUCAAAGAAUCAGCUCAUCGGACCUAUUCCUCAAGGAUGGCAAUUCAACACAUUCGAGAACAACUCGUUUGCCGGGAAUCCUAGGCUAUGCGGAUUUCCAUUGCUAGAGACAUGCACAAACAGUUCACGAGAAAUUCCACCAGUAAUCAUCCUUCAAGCAAACAAUAUGGAGCACGGAGGCUGGUUUGAGUGGAAAGCUAUAUUGAUGGGUUAUGGGUGUGGAACCGUAUCUGGAGUCUCUCUAGGAUACAUUGUUCUUGGAUCUAGAAAAUUUGAAUGGCUCACGGGGUUGCUUGAAAGGAAAGGAGCUAAUAUGAGAAAGAAGUGGAGGAGGAAUGCUCAUAGAUCUUAUCAAAGAUGAAAAUCUCGACUGUUCAUUCUUUGCAUUGUAAUAUGAUGAGUAAAUCUGUUGAGGUGCCUUGAGACCGAUUACAUGCUUAUUAUUUUGGCUUUUUUAUCAUUUAAGUGUAGUCUCAUCCAAAUAAACAAAAUAAGAUCUAAUUUAUGCCUGCUUCUUGUGGGAACUUAUUUCUUUCCUUUUCUCAAGGGAUAAUAUCGAAACCAUAAGAAAAGCGAGACGUGAUUCGCUUUUGGUUUAAUAUAUAGGCCAGUGUUGAGGUACACACGACUAGUGUGCAUGAUCUCCGGUGUCUUUAGGAAUUGCGUGAUUAUUUAAUAUAGGCUACUUCUUUUUACUUUUGUAGAGAAAAGAAUAGGUUUUUUCAGGAAUUGAGUGAUUACUUAAUUAAGUUGAUAUGUGAUGAAUAGUUAUUAUAGAUGUGUGAAUUGGCUGGUCACUUGAUGAAAAGAAAGUAGUAGGUAGUAGUCGAAACCAAAUUUUGCCGGUUUGGCGAACCAUCUGUACUUGAAAAAAGAAAAGAAAAGAAGAGAAGAAUUGAAUCAGGCCGGUUUGACCUGGCCCUCUUGGGCCCAGCCUGCGACCCUGCACCUACUCGGCCUGUCUCUUCUAUAGUGCGCGUCCGACCGGGUCUCUCCUCCCUUUCUUCUCUCUUUCUCGCCCCGCUCCAUCGCUCUUCCACCUCACGAUACACAGCCAUCGCCGCUCUUCGCUGCUCGUCAUCCCACUUAUCCCGCAAUCGCACCAAGGCUUCUAUUCGACCCUGUUUUCUUGACCAGAGUACUCUAAAGAGCUCGUCUCCUAUCCAUCCACCUUCACCGGUUCCGACCUUCGACAUAACAUAGAUAAAAGCACCCCAAGUGACCUAUUUAUAAGGAUCUUGUUUCUCCAAUGGUUCUAUUUGUAAGGACCCAUCUAUAGUCUCCUGCACCGCAAGCUUAACUUAAAGAGGGAAUGGAAAAGAUGAACAUUCUAUUUUUCGGAUUAUAUUCCCUUUUAUCUGAUGUUGGUGCUUUGGUUCUAGUAAUUCGAAGUUUGUUAUAUUGAUUACACAACUCAGAGAUGAUUAUCCCACCGCCAGCUAAGUCACCGAGAAUAAUAAACUUUCUCAAACCGAGACGUGGCCGCAGCUGCGAAGAUAGGAAAGAUACCGGGAGAGAGGCUGCUGCUCAAGGGCAUCGCUGCUGUUGAAGUGCACUUGAAAAGAGAACAAAAGUAUCAAGGCAAAGUUAAGGCAGUCAUCGAUUCUGUGAGAGAAGCAAGUGUGAAGUUGCUUUGAGGACUCCUGAACUUAUUGGCUGUAUUUGUUUUAAGACUUGUGAUCUUUGUUCAAAGUAAUCUUUCACUUGAGAAAGAUUGAAAGAGAGUACAUGAACUUUUUAUGUUGGAGGCUGCUUAUAUUGAUUUCUUCUUUGUAAGAAUAUAAGCAUAUUGAAUGUUUGGGCAUGUGCAUCUGAGCAUGUGCUUUGGCGUGUUUGGAUAGAUUAUCAGGGUGAGAAUCAUUGAAAAUGAUGAGCCUGCCGCUCAACUCUUAAAUACUGAAGUCGUUGCAUCCAUACAAGUUGGUUCAGAGUCCAAUAUAGAUCAUUGAUUGCUCACAUUCGGCGCUUUCGUUUUCUAUCGGAGCCUUAUUGAUAUUGAAAGAGAAAAUAACUGCUUGAGGCGCUCGGCUUCCAAUGAUCUUGCACUAUUUGUAGCCUUACUGAUAUUGAAAGAAAACAACUGCUUGAGGUCCUCGGUUUUGCCCUUGGUCGGUCCGGUCCUGGGUUCUGAAAAUGAGGAACCAGGCCGUCAGUCCGGUUCCCGAUUCUGAGGUGGGAACUGAUCACCCCUAAUGCCCAUGGCUGAUAAUCAGCUUACGCUAAGGCCUGGUGACUAGCGAAGGAGAAGAAAAAAAUAAAAAAUAAUUUAAAAAUUCAUUUUUAUCACUUUUAUGAUAAAAUCUAAUAUUAAAAAAAAUUGGUCAUGUACCACUAAAUAAAAAAAAUUAUCCACUUUUCCAAAAUAUGGUUUUUGAAAAAGUAAUUUUUUUUUAUGAAAUUUUUCUCGAAAUAAAUGUACCUAACAUUGAUUAAUUGAGUAGUGUCGAGGAAAAGCCAUUACCGUGUAUAGCAAGGCAAUCAGCGGAAUUUUCAGGGCUUUUGGGGCCUGCAUGGUUGCACCCUAUUUCUGUUCCCAGGAACAGAAAUUUCUGUUCUUUUGUUCCUGGGAACAAAAAAGGAACAGAAACGCGUUUGUGUGCGUUUCUGUUCCUUUUUUGUUCUUUUGUUCCCAGGAACACAAAAGAAACAGAAACAAGAAACAAAAAAAACUUGUUUCUUGUUUCUAGAACACAAAUCAGAAACAAAAAAGGAACAAAAUUGUGUUCCUUUUUUAUUUCUUCGAUCGUGCUCGAACAGGGCUUCCUCACCCCCCCGCGACGAGCUUCCUCCUGCGACCUGCAACAAGCGACGAGCGACGGGCGAAGAGCUUCUCCUCCGGCGACCUGCGACGAGCGACGAGCUUCUCCUCCUCCGACCUGCGACGAGCGUCUCCUCCUGCGACGAGCGCCUCCUCCUGCGAGCAGAGAAUUCCAUCGUCUUCUCCGGCGCCUGUCUCGACAGCCGCUGCUCCUUCACCAGGUAAACGUCGUCACUGCUCCUCCUUCCCUGAUU